rnacentral:lncRNA from 1 species
AUCAACAAACAUUUAUUUUGUACAAAAGAGAUAAGAUCUUAGCUAAAUUCUAGAUUUGAAUAAACAACUAACUCGAAUAACAAUAUAUAAUCAUUUAAAUAUUAUUAUUGAAUUUGAAUUGAUAUUAGUGAUAAUUGUUGGGAUUUUGUCGCCUCAGAUGAUACGACUUGCUCAAUCUUAUCUUGUGGAGGCCAGAUGGACUCUUCAAAACUACAAACCAUCAUUCGAGGAGUUUAAGGCUAAUGCAUUGCCAACUUGUGGUUAUGCCAUGCUUGCUAUUACAUCUUUCGUCGGCAUGGGAGAUAUUGUAACACCAGAAACCUUUAAAUGGGCAGCCAAUGACCCUAAGAUCAUUCAAGCUUCCACAAUUAUUUGUAGGUUUAUGGAUGAUGUUGCUGAACACAAGGUAUAAUAAUAUAUUUAAAUAAUCACAAGAAACCAAACUAUUAACUCAAUAACGAUGGUUUUUGUCACGAUUUGAAACAAUUAAAGUUUAAUGUUUAUAUAUCAAAUGUUUAGCCUUAAAUCGAAGAAUAAGAAAAGAUAUCUAGUUUCAUUUUAAAAAUAUAUAUAGUUUAACAAACGAAUAGAAUUUAGGUUAUAUAGUGAUUGAAUAAUUUUUAUUUUAUUAUGGUUGCAGUUCAAACAUAGGAGAGAAGACGAUUGCUCAGCAAUUGAGUGUUACAUGGAAGAAUAUGGUGUAACAGCACAAGAGGCAUAUGAUGUAUUCAACAAGCAUGUUGAGAGUGCUUGGAAGGAUGUGAAUCAAGAGUUUCUGAAACCAACAGAAAUGCCAACAGAAGUUUUGAAUCGUAGCUUAAACCUUGCAAGGGUGAUGGAUGUACUCUACAGAGAAGGUGAUGGCUACACAUAUGUUGGAAAAGCGGCUAAGGGUGGAAUCACUUCAUUACUCAUUGAACCAAUUGCACUUUGAAAUCGUAUUAAAUUUUCCUCUUCUGUUCCUUAAGGAAUAGUUAUUAAGUUAUAAUUAAUAAUGUUUUAUAAUAUAUAUAUUAUAAAAGAAAUUCUAAAUCAACUGUCUUUGUAUUCAUUUCCCUGUAUUGAUCUAAUAAAGUUCUUUUCAAGCUUUCAUUUGUGAAAAAUCUGCUAUUUUAUAUUUUAUAUUUUAAUUUUCCUUCUUUCGUUGCUAUAGCUUUGAACACAAAAUUUAGAGUAUGAUCCUAUCAUGCUCUUCCUUUUUACCAACAUUGUUGUCACUUUCAAUGAUUUUUCUCUUCUUCGCCAUAACAUUAUCAUCAAGAUUGCAUGUGAUAAAGUUUUGCCAUUCAGAUAGCCUUUUCAAGGCUCGCCACUAGAAGCUCACUUAAAUAGGGAUACUUGUUAAUAAAAUAUGUUUGUUGUCCUUGUUUUUAGGCAUAUAUUUGCUGCACAUCAAGGAUUUAGUGGCUACAGAUCAUGGGUUUAUUUGGUUUAGAUUUUUUUUCCUUAGUUGUUAAGAGUCCUAUUCUGAGUCGUUUGUUGUUAGUGUGCGAUUUCUUGAUUUUUCUAUCAUGUAAUUGCCUAUAUAAUAGGUUCUUGAGGUUGUGAAUAAAUGAGUUGAUCAUCUUAUUUUCCCUUUCCUUUAUUUUUUUCAUCUUGCUGUUAUCUCCUUAGUAAGCUAAUAGUUGUGUCAGAGCCUGGUAAAAGAAGAGUAUUUUCGGUGAGAGAAAAAUGUUUAUGGUCCUCUUAUGGCUUUUGAAAAUUGUUUGCAACUACCUAUUCCACAUUUUGACGGUCACUAUGACCAUUGGAGAUGUUGAUGGAGAACUUAUUAUAGUCCAAGGAGUAUUGGCAAGUCAUUAAGCACGGUAUAGCAACACCAACAGAUGGAGAAAAGCUUACAGAAUACAACAAAAAAGACUUGAAGGGGCUGAAGUUCAAAGAUUUGAAAGCAAAGAAUUACUUAUUUCAAGCUGUUUCGAUCCUAGAAACCAUUCUUUGCAAAGAAACUUUCAAGGAUAUUUGGUACUCCAUUAAGACAAAAUGUCAAGGCUCUUCCAAAGUGAAGCGUGCAUAGCUUCAAGCUCUUUGGAAGGACCUUGAGGUUCUUCGGAUGGAGGAUGGUGAGUCCAUUAUAGACUAUUGUGCAUGAACCAUGGGAAUCAUGAGUAAUAUGUGAUUUCAUGGUGAGAAGAUGAAUGACACAACCAUUGUUAAGAAGAUACUACGGUCCUCAUCACCAAAGUAUGAUUAUGUUGUCUACUCAAUUGAAGAAUCCAAUGACAUUGAUGCACUCACCAUUGAUGAACUCCAGAGUUCCUUGUUGGUCCAUAAAUAGAAGAUGAAUAGAACUUCUACCCCCAAUGGAGCAGGCUUUGAAAGCUUCAACUCAUUCUUUCAAAAGAAGAAAUGGAGGUCAAGGAAAGGGAAGAGACAGAUGAGACAGUUGGAAUAAAAAUAGUGGCAGGUAUGCCAGAUCAGAUGAUAAAGGCAAACAACAAGAUCGACAAUUUGACAAGUCAAAGGUAGAAUGUUUUGGAUGUUAUAAGUUUGGUCAUUAUUGUUUUGAAUGUCGUACUAAUCUAUCAAUGAUAAGGAAAAGGGAGAAAAGUCAAAAUUUUCAUAAAAAGAAGCUAAAACCUUGUUAAUGGCAAUUCAUGACAAGCAAGAGAAGCCACAAAACUCAUGUUUAUGGUAUGUGGAUACAGGCUGUAGCAACCACAUGUGCGGUAAUAAGUUUUCUUUCUCUUAUCUAAAUGAAGACUUUCACAUUAAUGUGCCUUUUGGAGAUAAAUCUAUUGUUGAUGUAGUGGGAAAGGGUGGUAUUAGUAUAAGAACCAAUAAUAGUUUUGUAGAAACAAUGUCCCAUGUUUUCUUUGUGUCUGCUUUGAAAACUUAUUAAGUGCUGGUCAAUUGCAAGGAAAAAGAUAUGUGAUUACGGUAUCAAAAAGUGAUUGUGAAAUUUAUGAUCCUUCUAGAGGUGCUAUUGCAGUGGUUCCAAUGAGUUCCAACAGGUUGUUUCCAUUAGUGAUUGAUUGUUUUCAACCUUGCUUGAUGGCUAAAGUGAAGGACAACACAUGGCUUUGGCAUUUUUGAUGUGGUCAUCUUAAUUUUGAGGGUUUGAAGACUCUUUGGUAGAAAGAGAUGGUCAACGACCUCCCUCAGAUUGUCAUUCAAACCAUGUGUGUGAAGAUUGUGUUGUUAGCAGACAACAUCAUGAACAAUUUCCCAAAAUAAAGUUUUAGAUAGCAAAACAUGUGCAGGAAUUGGUCCAUUUAGAUAUCUGUGGACCAAUAAAACCAUAAUCUAAUGGAGGUAAAAUUUAUUUCUUUACUUUCAUCGAUGAUUAUUUCCAAAAAUUGUGGGUUUACUUUUUGCAGGAGAAAUCGGAAGCAUUUAGUGCAUUUACUAGCUUCAAGGCACUUGUUGAGAAUGAAAUCGGGAAAACCAUUCAAGUUCUUCGCAUUGAUUGUGGUGGAGAAUAUUGUUUCAAGGAAUUUGAAGCAUUUUGUGAGAGCCAUGACAUCUGGAAAAAGCUUACCACUGCAUAUACCUCCCAAAAAAAUAGCGUAUAAGAGAGGAAAAACAGAACCAUACUUAAUAUGGUGAAAAGCAUGCUUGCUAGUGGAAGGGUCUUAAAAUAAUUUUGGGCAAAAGGAGUAAAUUGGAGCAUCCAUGUCUUGAAUAGAAGCCCAACUUUUGCUGUUCAAAACAUGACACCUGAAGAAGCUUGGAGUGGAAGGAGACCAGCUGCAGAUCACUUCAAAAUUUUUGGUUGCAUUGCUUAUGCACAUGUUCCAAAUGUAAAGAGAAAGAAGCUUAAUGUCAAAGGAGAGAAGCGUGUCUUUCUAGGUGUAAGUGAAACAUCUGAAGUGUAUAAAUUGUUUAAUCCUUUAAAGGAGAAAAUUGUGAUUAGCAGGGAUGUAAUUUUUGAUGAGGAGAAUACUUGGAAUUGGGAUGACAAACAACCUUUUCAAACCUUUGUUGGUACUGAAGUUGAAGAUGAAAAGCAGUAGCCUUUAGAUUAGUAGACUCAAGCAACACUUAAGCUUAAGAGUUCACCAAAUAAUACUCUAAUAAGUAGUUGAACCUCAUCCUAGCUAUAUUUGACGGAGACCAGCUUGGAUAGGAGAUUUUUAGGUAAUCAGCGUUGGGCAGACUGAAGAUCCAACCAUCUAUUUUGCUUUAUUUGCGGAUUGUGAUCUAACAACCUUUGAAAGUGCUGUAAAUGAGUCAAAAUGGAGAAAAACAAUGGAUGAAAAAAUUGCAGUAUAGAGAGGAAUGAUACAUACAAGUUCACUAAACUUCCAAAAAGGCACAAGACAAUUAGUGUCAAAUAGGUGUACAAGACAAAGUUGAAGGAGAAUGGAGAAGUUAAUAAGUAUAAGGCACAUUUGUGGCUAAAGGUUAUAAAUAGGAGUUUGGGGUAGAUUACAAAGAAGCCUUUGCUCCUGUUCCAAGGCAUGAUACAAUCAGAUUGGUGAUUUCACUUAUAGUCUAAUACUCUUGGCCUAUCUUCCAACUAGAUAUGAAUUCGACAUUUUUACAUGGUGAGCUCAAAGAACAGGUUUUUAUUGAACAACAUACUGGUUAUGUUAAACAUGAAAGUGAAAAUAAAGUUUAUAAACUAAAAAAAGGCUUUAUAUGGGUUGAAACAAGCCCCACAUGCUUGGUAUAGUCGAAUUGAAGCUUAUUUCUUGAAAGCUGGUUUUCCCAAGUGUCCUUAUGAGUCUACUCUUUUCAUUAAAACUGGUGAUAAAAGGAAAAUACUUAUUGUGAGUUUAUAUGUUGAUGGUUUUAUUUUCAUUGGAAAUUGUAGUUCCAUGUUUAAUGGAUUCAAGAAGUCUGAUGGUUGAGUUUAAAAUGUCAGAUCUUAGUAUGAUGCAUUAUUUUCUAGGCAUAGAAGUAGUGCAAUCAACUAAUGGAAUAUUUUUUUCUCAAAGGAAAUACAUUCAAGAUAUUCUGAGCAAGUUUGACAUGAAGGAUUGCAAUCUAGCAAGCACCACCAUUGAGUUUGGCUUGAAGUUGAGCAAAGAAGGAAAGUAAGUGGACAACACUUUUUAUAAGCAGAUUGUAGGCAAUUUAAUGUACUUGAUUGGUACAAGACCUGACAUAAUAUAUUUUGUGAGUUUGAUCAGUAGGUUUAUGGAGAAUCCUACAGAGAUGCAUUUAUUGGUUACUAAGAGAAUCCUUCGUUACUUGCAAAGAACCAUAUAUUUUGGGUUGUUUUACAAAAAAGGAGAAUUUUAAUAUCUAUUUAGGUUCAUUGACUGUGACUGUAGGAGAUCUAGAUGAUAGAAAAAACACUUCAGUUUAUGUUUUCAUGAUGGGAAUCGGAGUUGUUUCAUGGUCAUCCAAGAGGCAAUCUAUUGUUCCUUUGUCAACAACUGAAGCUGAAUUUGUUGUUGCAACAACCUGUGCUUGUCAAGCUAUUUCGUUGAGAAAAAUCUUGGAGGAGCUGAAAUUCAAGAGAAUGGGAGCUACAAUAAUUUUUUGUGACAACAACUCAGUUAUCGGAUUCUCAAAAAAUCCAGUAUUACAUGGUAGAAGCAAGCAUAUUGAUGUGAAGUACUAUUUUUGAGAGAUCUUAACAAUGAUGGGGUAGUUGAUCUUAAAUGCUGCAAGAGUAAAGAUCAGCUGGAUGACAUAUUCACCAGACCUGGCAAAUUAUUUCCCUUAUUGUGAGUCCUAUUGUGAGCCUUAUUAUGUUAGUGCCUAAUUUCUUGAUUUUUCUGUUAUGUAAUUGCAUAUAUAAUAGGUUUUUGAUGUUGCGAAUAAAUGAACUGAUCAUCUUAUUUUCCCUUUCCUUUAUUUUUUUCAUAUUGCUGUUAUCUCUCUUAGUAAGCUAACAGCACCUUCACCUCUUUAAGCCCUACCAUUAUCAACUUGCCCUUUAGAAUCAGUGCUACAAAGCUCUCCUUUCAAACUCACCAAGAAGCUCCACCAACAAAAUGUCUACACCAUCAACAUCACCUCUCUAGGCAAGCCAAUGACAACACAUUACACCUUGCCCAAAAAUAUUAUCUCAUGGAAGGCCACUUUAUAAUCUCUUGCUCAAUUGCAAUAGAGGGGUGAUCCACCCAAGCACACUUACAUAAAAAUGGAACAAAUAAAAUCAAUUAUAUCAACAACGUAGGCACCACAUUAUCAUAAGCAUGAUGGUGUCAAAUUAUAAUAUAGUAGUUACAAUGGAACACUUACAUAAGUACUCCAAGGAUCAUUCUUCCACAUGGAUUGAUAAAGGAAGUCCAUAACCAAACAAACAAAUUUGGCCAUUACAAAUACAAUGAGGUAAACUUAAAUGAUCUUUGAAUAGUUAGGUGACCAAAGGGUAAACUUACUAGUUGUUGAGUGGCUAUAAGUGUAGUUUACCAAUUCUUUAAUGUUUAAGAUUACUUUUGUUUAAAUCUUACCUUUUUGCUUCAAAAUUAUUGGUGUUCUUGGUUGGUUGAAAAACUAGAGGAAUGGGAGGAAGGAGUGGAAAAGUGGAAAGAAAAUAAAAUUUAAUUGUACUUCGUAGGGAAUAAAAGUGAGAGAAAAGAAAAUAGGAGAGAUAAUCAUUUUUCAUCUUAAUGCAUAGAAAUCAAUCCUUCCAAAUUGGAAAGAUGAGAGGAGAGAAUAUUAUAAAGAUGUGUAUGUUAGUUUAAAAUUAUGCUAUUUUCUUUCAUUUCAUUUUUUAACUCUAUCAAACAAUAGAGGGAAAGAAAAUUACUUUGUUUUUCCACUUUUUCAUUUCUCCUAUCAAACACAACUACGGAAAGAAAAUUUAUGUUUUCCAUCCUUCUAAUUUUCAACCCCUUCAAUAUUCCAUCUUUCCAAUUUUCUUUCCACUCCAACAAGCAAAGCGAAAAUGUCUAGAGACAAAAUUGUUGACUUUUAUAAUUGUUAUAACAAACGUCGAUAAUGACAAUAGCAUGAUCGCAAAGUAUGAAAAAAAUAAGAACACACAGAUUUUACGUGGAAACCCUUUCGGGAAAAAACUACGGACAAAGGAGAAGAAAUUUACUAAUGUUGAAAAACGAAUAAUACAGGAGAAGUUUCGACUACAUCUAUUAAAAAGGUUAAAAAAUCCUAUUAUAAUCAAUAUCAAAUAGAAUAAAUAUAGUUCUUCAACAAGUGACGGGAUUUGGGUCACACAAACUCUAACAAUAAUUAAUGAAUUAAUUUAGUCUUUUACUUCAUAAUACAAUGACCCACAUUGUGAAAUUUCCAUUUCUGUUUUAGAAAAUUUCUAAAAAAAAGUUGUUUAGAAAUAAUCUUCUCAUGAGUUGUAAGUAAAAAAUCCAGUAAUAUUAUUAAAUAUUUAGUAAUAUUACAAGAAAUCUGUAUUCCUAAUAUAAGUAGCUUUGUAAAAGACUUAGUAAUUUACAUUGUAAGAAAUUCAAUAAUUUAUUGAAAAUGUUACAAUGUUGUAGCAAAUUCAGUAUUUUAAGUAGCCCACACUAAAUCUUUUUUAAAAUUACUGAAUUUAUAAUAAUUACUGAAUUACUUACAUGAUUACCAAAAAAAACUUCAACUAUUACUGAAUUCAUUAUGACAUUUUUUAUUUAUCUAAUUUCUUAAGGAAUUCUAUCAGUAAUUCAAUAAUUCUUUAAGAGUUUUAGUAAUUCAGUAUUUUUACGAAAUUUAGUAAUUUACGAAAUUAUGAAAAAUUAGGUAAACAUUAAAAUGUUUUAAGAUAUUCAAUAAUUGAUUUAGGUUAUUCAAUAUAUUUUAAUUUUAAUUUUAGUUUGGCCAUAAUAAGCACUUUUGUUCCUUGGGUUUGUGGGUUUGCUGCAAAUUAGAAAGGUUUCAUCAAUUUUUUAUUUAUUUCUCUAGGUUAUUAGAGUGAAUUCAAUAAUUAAUCCUCCACAUUCAAUAGGUCCAUUAAGGGGUAGAUGCGGACAACGAGUUUUAAAAUUACUCCAUACCCAGGAUAAUAAUUGAACAUUGGGCCACUGGUUAAGAUAGAAGAGACCCUUAACAUCUCAUUUAACUCCUGUGGCUAAAGGGUUCGUUAAUUUUAACAAUAUGUUUUAAGCUUCGUUAUGAGUUAACCCUUCACUCUCCUAGCUACAGAACUAAACUAAAGCAUCAACUUCUAGCUCCCCUUACCAUCAUGCAAUGGUCAUUUCGUGCUUUCAUAAAAUAAAAGUCCAUUUCAAAAGAGAGAAAUCUGAAUAAAAGAUUCAUCAUUAGCAAUAAAAAACAUGAAGAAAUUGAGAAGAAAACAAAAGAAAGAAAAGAGACAUGCCCAUUUCAGAAGGUGGAAAGCCUAAACUUUAGUUUAGAUUUUUAGGGAUUUCUAAGAAGUUUUUUUUUCGAAAAUCAAGCAAAGGAUUGGAUUUGAAAUUUUAGUUUUUUUUUCAUAUAUAUUUUAGUUUUUUUAAAAUUUUUAUAUCAUUUUUAUUUAAAAAUUUUUAGGAACUAUAAAAAAGAAAUAUAUAUAUAUAGUGAUUAGUUCUGCAAUUCAACUUAAAUUUUUCAUCUAACAUAAUUACUUAACAUGUUACGUUAGCUUACUGUUAUUUUAUUAAUGAUAAUUAAUAGCUCAAUAACUAGAUAUUACAAAUCGAUAACGUUAGUGACCAUUUUGUAACAAAUUAAAAUCCAAUGACUAAAAUGUAAUUUAAACCAUAGAUAAAUGAAUAUUUUUAUAAUUUAUCCUAUAUAAUAUUAUAUAUAUGUACCUCAAGAAAAAAAAAUAUCAUACAUAUGCACGCCAAACUAUAUAUAUAUUUAAUGUUAAGUUUCUAAUAUACAAUAUUUAUAAUAUUUAUAAAAAUUAAAUUUUAAGUUUAAAAAUUAUGAAAAAUUUUAAAAAUCUAAAAGUUUCAAACUACACCAACUGACCACAUGCUUGUUGGAAAUACUUAAAUUCAAUGCACAAUAAAAUACUAAAAAGAAAGGAGUUAAUAUAUGUUAACUUUGUUGAUGUGGUAUAUAUGUAAAUUACUAUGUGAAUGAAAUCUCAACAAUUAAAAUUUUUAAAUUUUAGAAAGUUUAACCAAAUAUAUAAAAAAAUAUUUUAAAAUUUAAAAUCAUUUUAAAAAUUUUAAAAAUAUAUUUUAAAAAUUUUAAAAAUUAAUUAAUUGUUAACGUGGCACAUACGUGGAUGCCAUAGUAAUAAAGUUAACAAACAUUAAUUUUUCCAUCCAGUUUGGGAUGAUUUGACAAACAAUGCAAAUUCAAGAGCUAAAAGAGACGAAAAAUUAAAUGAAGAACUAAAAUGACAUUUUAUAAAGUUGAAGGGCUAAAUAAAUUAUUAUGCUUUUUUAAUAACCGUUAUUUCUUUCUUUUUUUUAACAUGCCAAAUUUAAAAUAUGUAUAUUAAAUAUUUAAUUUUAUAUUGUGUGCGAAAUUAAUUGAUUUGGUUUAAUAUAAAUAAAAAUGUAAUACUUAAUUACUCAGUAUUAGAUAAGUUUACUAUCAAUUAGUAAAAAGUAAUUAUAAUAAGUGAAAGUUAUUUUUAGAAUUUAAAGUUUAUCCAAAUGAAUUAUUAAUGCCAUUAGUAGAACUACGAAUGCACAAUAAGGGAAGAAUAUAUCAAUUUUAUUGAUAAAUCUAGACGCCUUUAGUGAAAUUUGCUGAUUCCCUUUGAAUAUUGUUUUUAAAAUUAUGAGUUCCAAAUAUAAAAUUCUAGUAUUGACUGAAUCAUACAACUAUAGAAUUCAAUUUGAAAAAAAUAUGUUAAAUUAAUUGUGAAAAAUACCUUAUUUAAAGAGUCAAGCCGACAUUUUUUUUUUCUUUCUUUUUAUUAUUAUAAAUAUGAAGUAAACAAACACCUGUUAAAUAAUUAUAUUCAUGUUGAAAUUAAAGCGUCCGGUGAAUUUAAAAAUUCUUUUUAGAGGGCCUGAAAAUGAAUUAUAUAUCGUUUCGAUAGUAAAAAAGUAAUUUCAUCAUUUUAAUAGUUUAUAUCUUUAUAAUUUUUAAAGAAUUAAAUCAAAAUUUAUUAUUUUUAGGGUCAAAGUACAAUUUUAUCAUUACUAAUUUGAAAUUUUAUAAAUUAUAAAAAACUUUAAAUAGAAAAUUUUCCAUUUUAAGGGGAACCGAAAUUCCUCUGGCUCCGCCCGACACACAUCACAGUUGCACAUAAUUAAUUAAUAGAUUAAAUCUUAUUACAUGUUUCUCAUUUUUAUUUCUUAUUUCAACGAAUUCAUCGUCACUAAGAUUGACUAAUUUGUCCUUUACAAUGAUCCAAAAGACUUUUCAACACUCUCAGUCUAAGGGGUUCCUCCGGAGUCCGUAUAUUAUGUUUCAAGUCAAUAAUUUUACUGUUUUUUUAUGGAUGCUGAAAAUAUGAUCAAUGUGCCCCUUUUCCCCCCUUAAAUUAUCUCAUUAUGCUGAAAAUUAUGUUAAAUUAAUUGUGAAAAUAUGUUAUUGAAAUAGUCAAGCCUUUUUUUUAAUGCUUUUACUAUUAUAAUGGCAGUACACUUGCAAAUAUAAAUUCAUGUUUAAGGCAAAGAAUUGAAAACAAUUCAUCAUUAGAUAUUUAUGAGUUAAAAGUUGGGUUGAGUCGAGAUCUAGUUUAAAAUAUUUUUCAAGUUUAAGUCUAUUUUCGGGUUAAAAAUUAAUAAAAUAUUAAAAAUAAAUUUUUAAUUGUUAUUUUAUAUAAUUUUAGAAUUAAAUUUUAAUUUUAAAAUAUUUUUUAUUAUUUAAAUUGAAUUCAAGUCAGGCCGGUUCGAACUGCAAAAAUUCUUGUCCAAAUCUGAUCUAAAAACUAAACUCAAUUACCCAAAUUAUUUAAAUUAUUUAUACUAUGUUAAUUAGCAAUUUAAAAAAUUUGUAAAAGUUGAACGUCGACAAUAACAAUAUAGAACGAUUGCAAAGCAAAAGAAAGAAAAAAUAAGAACACGAAGAUUUUACGUGGAAACCCUUUCGGGAAAAAAAGACCAUGGGUAGAGGAAAAAAAAAUUCACUAAUGUCGAAUUCGAAAGAUACAAGAGGAGUUUAGACUACGUCUAUUUAUAGGUUGAAAAAUCUUAUUCUAAUCAAUGUCAAAUUAUUAAAGAGUAGUAAGGUUAAAAAACCUUAUUCUAAUCAAUGUAAAGUAAAAGAAGUAUAGUUUUAUAUGAAUUUUAUUUUAUUUUUAUUUUAACAAGGACUCAAGUCACUCAACUCUAACAAUCUCCACCUUGACAUGAAUUCUCAACGAACAAGUUCUUCACCACGAACUCUUAACGAACAAGUUCUCCACCUAUCCCACGAAACCCUUUAAAGGGUGUUCUUCAACAAUGAAUACCAGUCAAGUCCAAGCAAUACUCAAACUUCUUGGUUAUAGGAAGUGGCUUAGUCAUCAUAUCCGUAGGAUUUUCAUGAGUACUAACUUUGCUCACAACAAUAUCACCACAAGCAAUAAUAUCAUGCACAAAAUCAUACCGAACAUCAAUAUGAUUUGUUCUCUCAUGAAACAUUUGAUCCUUCGUAAAGAAGAUGACACUCUGACUAUCACAAAACACUGUAUUGAUCUGAAGGUCUUUACUGAGUUCACCAAAGAGUCUCUUUAACCAAAUAGUUUUUUUACAAGCCUCGGUAAUCGCCAUGUACUCAGCUUUAGUAGUAGACAAAGCAACUGUAGUUUGCAAAGUAGCUUUCCAACUGAUUGUGCAACCUCCAAUUGUAAAGACAUACCCUAUGAGAGAUCUUCUUUUAUCAAGGUCUCCAGCAAAAUCAGAAUCAACAUAUGUAAUGACUCCAUCCCUAGUUCUUCCAAACUAUAAGCAAACAUUAGUAGUACCUCAUAAGUAUAUGAAAAUCCACUAAACUAUUUUCCAGUAUUCUUUAUUGGGAUUCGCCAUGUAUCUACUAAUUGCACUAACUAUACAUGACAAAUCUGGACAUGAGCAAACCAUAGCAUACAUGAGAGAUCCCAUUGCACUAGAAUACUGAUUGCAAAGACAAAACCGAUGAAAGUCUAAAGUGGGUUGCUAAUAGGGUCCUAAUAGGCUUGGCAUUCUGCAUAUUGAACAUGCAAAGAACUUUUUCAAUGUACCAUUUCUAACUUAGGUACAAUUUACAUGCUUUUCUAUCUCUGAGAAUCUCCAUCUCAAGUAUCUUCUUUACUGCUCCCAAACCCUUUAUCUCAAAUUCUUUAUUAAGUUGGGCUUUGACCUUUCUUAUCUCUUAUUUAUCUUUGGCUGCUAUCAACAUGUCAUCAACAUAGAAGAGUAGAUACACAAAAGAACCAUCACUGUUUUUCUUAAAAUAAAAACAACUGUCAAAGUUGCUUCUUUUGAAAUCAUGAGGAGUCAUAAAAAAAUCGAACCUCUUGUACCACUGCCUUGGUGACUGUUUCAAGCCAUAAAUGGACUUUUUCAACAAGCAAACAUAGUCAUCCUUUUCUGAUACAGUAAAAUCUUCUGGUUAUUGCAUGUAAAUAUCUUCCUCAGAUUCCCCAUGCAAGAACGUUGUAUUUACAUCUAACUACUCAAGCUCCAAAUCAUACAUGGCCACAAUACCAAAUAAGGCUCGAAUCGAAGUAUGUUUCACAACUGGAGAAAACAUAUCUAUGAAGUAUACACUUGAAAUCUGACUAUAACCUUUUGCAAUCAGCCUUGCUUUAUACAUGGGUUCUUCAACUUCAGAGUUCCUUAUUUCUUUUUGAACACCCAUUUACAACGAACAACCUUUUUACCUUUAGGAAAUCUUACUAGAUCCCACGUUCUAUUCUUAUAGAGCGAUUCCACCUCUUCUAGCGUGGCAAUCAUCCAUUUUCUUAAAUCUUCACAAUUAAUUGCCUCAGAAUAAGUAGAUGGCUUUUGAUUUGCAUCUAUAUCUUUAGCCACAUUUAAAGCAUAAGCAACUAGGUCGACCUCAACGUACCUCUUUGGAGGUUUAAUUUCUCUUCUAGGUUUAUUCUUGGUAGUAGAAUAUUGUGGUGAAGAACAACUCUACUCUAAGUUUUUAUACUAACUUAAGUGUUGGAUCACCAGCACCCCUAUGGCGCAGCGAAAAAAAUUAAAAUCGGCGACCCUAACCAUGGAUCCAUGUGUGAAGAACGAAUCGGGGUGAAAAGAUUACGAAAUUACCUAAUAUUUCGAUUAAGAAGAUAGUAACUUCUCGACAAUGUGUAGUCUGAUUUACAGUCAAACCAAGCCGCAAUCUAUCGAGACUCCAACCUCUACGUAAUCCACCCAGUUGACUACGAACGGAAGAAAAUCCCCAAAACAGUUUUGAGAGUUAUAUUUUUUUACGGCUGCUAGACCUUAAAAUAAUGAAAAACGGGAUUCUAAUAUAUCUCUUUUAUUUUUAGGGUUUUUAGGAAUUAAAUAAAUAUAAUAAUAUUUUAAACCGAAAAUUUUAAUUACAUUAAUUAUAAUAUAAUUUCGGUAAACCAUAUAUUUAUUUAAAUUCAUAUGCUAAUCAAAUUCAUGUCCUCAUUAUGCGUACAACAACCUUGUACAUAAUGUGUUGGAAAUUUGAUUACUGAAUUAAAUUAAUUCUAUAAUUAAUUUAAUUCAAGUGACACCCAAAAAUAAAACCAACUAUGGUUUAUUCCGUUCAUUUCAACUAUAGUGUGUGACCUUGUAGGUUCUUGUAACGUUAGCAGUAAUACUAGAACGAUUCCAAUGUUACAAACAAUGAGUGGCAUCUAGCAAUGCAUCAUUCUACCUAAGUCACAAGAGAUCAUGAUUCGACAUAACCUUUUAUGAUUAACCUUUUAUGCAAUAAUCCUUAAGUCCUUUAUCUCUGGAUUGGACACAAGUCAUGGAAUAGUCACACUUGUAUAGUCCAUUCCAUGUUCCUUGAUAUCUUAAGCAGACUACGAUAUACACAUAAGUAUGACAUCUCAUAUCAACUUAUUUGAGCAUGGCCAUGCAUUUCUAGUCUCACUUAAUCAAGUGGCCUAAGAUAUUACUCCCAUUAUGUAGGAGGGACUUAUUCUAUAUCGACCAACCAUAUCCCUCUACAUCGAUUGUGAUAUAUCCAACAUCAGCCUUUAUAGAACAACCAGUUACGGUGUACGUUUAACUGUAUCAAAAUAUAUUACUCACGAUGUUGGGAUUAUGAUGAUCUCAAGUCUGAGGAUCAUAUACAUAUUAAUCACUAUGAGUAAUGUCGUGACAAUUACAUAAUAAUCCAAGAGANNNNNNNNNNNNNNNNNNNNNNNNNNNNNNNNNNNNNNNNNNNNNNNNNNNNNNNNNNNNNNNNNNNNNNNNNNNNNNNNNNNNNNNNNNNNNNNNNNNNAGUCCAAUAUGUUGUUCUCUAACACACAUAUUCAUGCAUCGAUUCUGACAUUCCAUAUCAAUGACAACUCUUUAUCAUCAAUCAACUACAUGUUAGUCUUAAUGCAUUAUCCUUGUCCUAUCCAACAAUAAUACUUGACUAAGGAUCUUUUAAGAAUAAUCAUAUUAUUCUUAGGACAUUAUUAUAAAACAGCUUAUUUAUACACACAGAAAAGAAACUGAAAUAAUAAUGGUAACGCCUUAUAUUAAUAAACAUGAUAAAUCAAGUAUGUUAUUACAAUCAUCUCAUGAUUGGUCUUUGGGCAUACUCUAACAUUAAGAAGUAGACUCUGUUAUAGAUCCUGGAUCAAUCUGAAGCUCCACCUGUUUUUCCUGGUUAUUAUUGGAAGAGUUUUUAAGAGAUAAGUUAGGUAGCAUAGCAGUUUCAUAAAAAAAUAAUAUCUCUGCUAAUCACAACUUUUCUAUUUUCAGGACACAAUAAUUUAUAUCCUUUAACACCAGCCUUAUAACCAAGAAAAAACACAUUUAAUGGAUCUAGGUUCUAAUUUCCCACUAUCAACAUGAGCAUACACAGGACACCCAAAAAUUCUCAAAUUAGAAUAAUCAGUAGGAUUACCAGACCAUACAUUUUGUGGAGUCUUUUUCUCAAUGGCAACGAACAGAGACUGGUUAAUCGAAAAACAUGCAGUACAGGCCACUUCAGCCCAAAAUGACUUCGGUAAACAAGCAUUCGAUAACAUACAUCAAACUUUUUCCAUGAUUAUUCUAUUCAUCCAUUGUGCAAUGCCGUUUUGCUGUGGAGUAUGACGAACUGUCAAGAGUCGCAUGAUUCCUUUUGAUUUGCGCAAUUUAAUAAACUCAUCAAAACAUAAUCCCAUGCCAUUAUCUAUACGGAGGUGUUUUAUCUAUUUUCCUGUCUAGUUAUUGAUCAUAGUUUUCCAAGCCUUAAACACAAAAAACACAUCACUUUUCUGCAAAAAUCAUCAAUGAUUGUUAUCAUAUAAUUAGCGUCACCCUUCGAAGGCACUCUGGAUGUUCCCCAAAGAUCAGAAUGAAUAUAAUCCAGCAUUCUCUUCAUGUUAUGGAUUCCUCUAGUGAAUCAAACUCUCUUUUGCUUCCUAAAAACGCAGUGCUCACAAAACUUUAGUUUGCUAAUGCCUUGUCCAUCAAAAAGUCUUCUUUUGCUUAAUUCUACCAUGCUAUUCUCACUCAUAUGCCCUAGACAUAUAUGUCAAAGUCUAGUAACAUAAUCAUCUAACAAGGAAGAGGAAGCGACGGCUGCAUCACCAGUAACAGUAAAACCUUGCAAAACAUAUAACUUGGCAAUCUUUCUCUGCCCUUUCAUCACAAUGAGGGAAUCCUUACUAAUCUUUAGAACUCCACUUUCAGCUGUGCACUUGUGCCCUUUUGAAUCAAGAGUACUCAACAAAAUCAAAUUCCUCUUCAAUCAUGGUAAAUGUCAUAUUCCACUAAGUGUUCUGAUGACUCUAUCGAACAUUUUAAUUUUGAUCGUGUCAAUACCUGUGAUUUUACAUGAAGCAUUAUUUCUCAUCAAAACAACACUUUCAGACACAAUUUCAUAGGUUGUAGACCAAUCUCGAUUUGGACUCAUAUGGAACGUACAAUCAGAAUCGGGGAUCCCCUCCUCGCUCACUUUAAAUUUGUUGGCAAAAAUAACUAGAAGUUCACCAUCACUGUAGUUUUCUGCUACAUCAGCUUCACCGGAUUGUUCUGGUUGUUUUCCCUUUUGAUUCACAAUCUCCCUUUUGAUCUUGUUUUACAACUUAUAGCACUUAGAUUUAAUGUGCCCUUUCAUCUUGCAAAAGUCACAGGUUUUACCUUUGUUUGAAGAUCUUGAUCUACCCUUAAAUUUGCUGCUAGGAUUUCGCUCUUAUGUCCUCUAACGAUUAUCAUCAGUAUUUUGUUCUUGUCUACCACGAACAGUGAGACCCUUUCCCUGAGAGUCGGAUCCAACUACAGGAUGUUUCAUCUUGUCAUACGAGGCUAAAGGAGCAUAGACUUCAUCAACUGUGAUAGAUUCACAACUAUACAAAAUCGUAUCUCUAAAGGUUGAAUAAGACGGGGUAACGAAUAAAGUAGAAUUAAACCUAAAUCUUCUUUGUCAUACUAAACCUCCAUGGCCUCUAGGUCAGAGAGAAUUUUUUUAAACACAGUUAAGUGUUCGUGUACAGACGCACCUUCCUCCAAAUGAUAAGCAUAAAGACGCUGGUUAUAUGCAACUUGCUAGUUAAGGUUUUCGACAUGUAUAAUUGUUGCAACUUUGCCCGUAAUGCACCGACGAUCUUCUCAUUCAUCACGCCCUGUAGAAUUUCAUUUGACAAAUGGAGAUGUAAUUGUGUUAAAACCUUUCGAUCUUUACGUUUCUUCUCCUCCUCUGUCAAUGUCGAAGGCAUCUUAUCUACCCCUAGCAAGGCAUCCUCUAACUCCAUUUGCGCAAGAACUGGCUGCAUCUUUAUCUGCCAUAGUGCGAACCAGGUGUUGUGAUCUAGUAGUGGAAUAUCAUACUUCAAUGUCGCCAUUACCAUGAUCGAGACAAACAACCCGAAAAGCUCUGAUACCAGUUUGUAAAAGUUGAACGUCGACAAUGACAAUAUAAAACAAUCACAAAUCAAAAGAAAGAAAAAUAAGAGAACACAGAUUUUACGCGGAAACCCUUUCGAGAAAAAAACCACGAGUAGAGGAGAAGAAAAUUCACUAAUGUCAAAUUCGAAUGAUACAAGAGAAAUUUAGACUAUAUCUAUUUAUAGGUUGAAAAACCUUAUUUUAAUCAAUGUCAAAUAGAUGAAGUGUAGUAAGGUUGAAAAACCUUUUUCUAAUUAAUGUAAAAUAAAAGAAGUAUAAUUCUAUAUGGAUUUUACUUUUAUUUUAAUUUACCACUGUAUUUUAUUUUAACAAGGAUUCGAACCACUCAACUCUAUAUAUAUUUAAAAUCAUUCAAAUUUGAAAAAAUAAAUUAAAAUUAAAAAUAUUUUGUUGAAAAUCUGAAAAUUAUUUUUAAAAAGUCCCCCUCAUCUUCUUCAUCUAAAAGAAUGAAGAUUUUCACUGUCAUUUUUUUAUUUACUUAAAACUCUCAGAUCGUAAAAGAUUACUUUUUGUGCAUCCAAAUGAAAAACCCUCAACCAUCCCUUGUAGAAAAGAGAAGACUUGAAGCAAAUGGCACAAAUUCGAUCCGUUUGCGCUUUAAUUUCUAGCGAAAAGUUGGCUAUGUAACAUCAUCAAAACCAACCCUAAUAAAAUUUCUAACAUAGACAUAUUUUUUUAUUUAACUGCGAUUUGUUAUUUAGAAAAUCAUGGUUAUAAUAAAAUUUUAAAAUCAAUUAAAAUUCAUUAAAAUAAUUUUUUAUCUACGAAAUCAAAAUCUAAAUUAGAAAUUAACUGUUAUGCAUGAAGAAGCUUAAUACUAUUUUUGGUCUUUGUACUAUAGUGAAAUUCUUAUUAUGGCCUUUUAUUAUUUUUUGGUCAGAUUGUUUUCUCUAUUUCCAUUUCGUCACUAAGUUCGCCCUUUUAGCAAGUUUCAUUAAAAAUAUUAAAUCCACGAAUGACUUGCUGUGCCACAUUUAAAAAAAUUAAAAAUUUUACUUAAAAAAUUAAAAAUCCAAAAUAUCUCAAAAAUAACAAAAAUUUGAAAACAUAGAAUUUUUUUUUAAAAUAUCCUAAUCUACUUUUGAAAAUUAUAAAAAUUAUUUUUUUACAAAAAAAUUAUUUAAAAAAAUAAGAACUCAUUUAAAUUCCACAAAAAUCAUAAUUUUUUUAAAAGAGUCCCAAAAAUCUUAAAACACAAAAAAAUUAUAAGAUCUUAAUCUAUUUCAAAUUCACUUAAAAUUUAAAAAAUAUAAAAAAACUAAAAUAAAUCAUUAAAAUUCCCCAAAAAAACAUAAUUUUUUUUAAAUCCAGAAAAAUCUUAAAAUUCUGAAAUUUUAAAAAAAAUCAAAAUAUUAAUCUAUUUCAAAUUCACUUAAAAUUUUAAAAAUAUAAAAAACUAAAAAAUAUUAAAAUUCCAAAAAUAUAUAUAUUAAAAAAACACCCCCAAAAAAUCUUAUAACUUUGAAAAUUAUAAAAUAAACUUUUAAAAAAUCUUAAUCUAUUUUUGAAAAUUAUAAAAAAGAAAACCUAAACUUAUAAGUAUGCAGAACUUCAAGAAAAUAAAAAAAUCAUAAAAAUAUAAAAAAUGUUUUUCUUUUUUGAAUUUAGGGUUUUAUAAAAAUAUAGAAUUUUAUGAAAAAUUUUAAGAAUUUUAUGGUAAUUUUUACUUAGGAUUUCCAAAAAAAAAAAAAAUCCCAUAAAUUUCUUCUAAAUUUUAAUAAAAUUCCAAAAUUUUAUAAAAACCUAAAAUUUUCUACAAACCUAAAAUUCCAAAAAGAAACUCAUUUUUUUUAACUUUUUUUCAAAGUUUCGCAUGCUUAUACUUUUUUUUUUCAAAAAAUAUAGUUUUGAAAAAUAUAUUAAGAUUUUUUUAGUUUUUUUAUUACUUUUCUAUGUUUUUAUAAAAGAACCAAAGUGAGAAUUUCAGAUAUUAAGCCAAAAGAUAUUACCUUUUAUUUGAGUUUAUUUAGAGUGAGAUUUCACCGUAUGCAAACAAAAGAGAAUUACAAUACAAAGCAGAUCCUCUCUUUUCCUCCUUUCUUUUUCCGUAGUUUUCUUCUUCUUCUUCUUCUUCUUCUUCUUCCUCUCUUGUAAACUUCUUUUCUUUCUCCUUUACAUGCUUCACUGUUCUCUUCACCUCUCUCUUUUUUCUUCUUACCUUUUUUUGCUUUUCCAUGCAAAAUGAGGCAGGAGGCCAUGCCACCCUUAAAUGUUAAUAACACUGACAAAUAACAUAAUAAUCUAAACUAAAAAAUUAAUAGUCAAAAUCCAAAAUAAAAUCGAGCUAUGAAAGUGUAGCAACAUUCAACUUAGAUUUUUCAAAUUAAACCUAACCCUAGAAUUCAGAUUUAUUGAAAGUGACUUUAAAAUUAAGUUUAGCCCGGAUAAAAAUAAUACCUAUAAUAUAAAUAAUAUUUUUUAAUUAUUUUUUAAUCAAAUUGAUGUUUGAUUAAUGGGUGAUACCGAUACAAAAAAUUUAAAUAGAAACAUAAAUUCUAAUUUAAAUGUUUUAAAAGAAAAUACUAAUUGUUCAAGACUGUAUUUAAUUCAGUUCGUUUUUCUUCGAUUUGUCCUUCUAUUAGAUGAAAAAAAAACUAAUAAAACGACUCGUAAAUUAAUACAUAUUAAUAUUUUUAUUUUUAUCGUGUUAUUGAAAACUAUGGGAUAUUUUACUUUUGAAUUUCAUAUAAAUAUUAAAUGUGCAUAUAAACUCUUCAAGGAUAAUUUAAUUAUUAUUUAAUAAGAAAAUUUUAAGGUAAUAAAAAUUGUAUGUGAGAGAACCCGAUGUGAUGGCUCGAGCUGAUGUGAGUUUCUUUAUUGGCCUAAUAAUAAAUUUAGUCUUCUAAUAUUUACACGUUCUACCCAAGUUUGGAAGUUACUGAUGAUGAUAUGUCCAAGUAAAAAAAAAGGCGAAAAAAAACAAAUUUUCUAUGUUUUGAAAGAUUUCGCAUUUCAUUGUUUCCUCUAUUUGAAUAUUAAGUAUUUGUACAUUUUUUAAAUAAGAAAAACAUGGAAAUAAUUAUUUUGUAAUUGUUUAAAGAAUUGUUAAUUUAUUUAGAGGAAUUGAUUCUUAGAUUAUAUGAUAUUAAUCUAAAAUAUGACACUAAAAUAGUUGGAUUUAAGCCAACUUGAUUUUUUACCAUAUUCAAAAAGGCGAUAUUAAUUUAAAAAGAGCACAAUACAAAUAGUGUUAAAUACUCUUCUUGUUUAGUAUAUUUUGGAGGUACGUUAAAGAAUAUUUAAAAAAAUUUAAAUACUUUCCAAUUUUCUAUUGAAAUUUUUAGAAUUAGAACUAAACUGACAAAUUCUGUGAUGGCUAAAUUUAUUGAUUUUUUUUAGAAUUCGAACUAAAAUGACAAAUUUUGUAAACAUUUAGGGCUAAUUUUGUUGAUUUUGUUUUAGAUUUAGGAUCAAACUGAUAGAAUGUGUAAAUAUUGGAGGCUAAAUUUGUUAUUAGAUCAAUAAAAAGGGCUUACCGAGCUUUUCAUCACUCAUCUAACAACAACUAACGAGAGAGUGACUAAAAUAUUUAAUUUCAAAAAAUUGAGUGGCAAAAUGGAAAAAAAAAUCAAUAGUCAGGUGACCAAAUAGAACCGAAGGCAUAAUUGGUGACUAUUGUUGUAGUUUACCCUUUUAGUAAUUAAAAUUAAUUUCUUUCAAUAAGUUCAAAUAAUAGAAAAUAAUUAUUUGAUAAUUAAAUGAAGAACUACAUUGGUAGUCACUCAACUAUUAGUAUUUUUUUUUGUCAUGCAACUAUGAAACUUUACAAAAAUGGUCAAUAAUUAUUCAACUUUUUUCUAUUUGGUCAACCAACUACCGGCCAUUAAUUUAUACAUUGUGUCAAUUUAGUCUUGAUUCAAAAAAAAUUAACCCUCAACAUUUACACAUUGUGUCAUUUUUUUUUGCAGUUUUACUUUUAUUUGUGACAUUGAGGGUUAAUUUUAAAAGAAUGAGAAAAUAUGAAAAUUAUUAUCUUGGAUUUUGGGUGUUUUCAUUUUUGAUAUAUUUCCGAUUAAAUUUAGUUGAUAGAUUGUUUUUCUUAGCUUAUUAGGUGAAAGGGUCACAAAGAAAAACAAAGAAAAAAUACCAAAUUACAUCAUGUGUAAACACUGAGGGUCACAAUGUAUAAAUGUUGAGUGCUAAAGUUGCUAUUAUGCCAAUUUUAAAAGUUAUACGUCACCUUUUAUUCAAUCAUUCAACGACUAGUGAAAACGAAAAAACCAAAUAGUUGAGUGACCACUUCGUAACUUUUCAUAAUUGGGUGGCUAAAAAAAGAAAAGUACUAAUAGUUGGAUGACUUGAAAUGUAAUUUACCCUUAAAUAAAACAAUGGAUAAUUUGUGAUUGGUGUCCCAAAAUUAUAAAAAAGAAACUAUAUUUGCUAUAAGAAAGGUUAUAUCAACUAGAUAGACUAUAGUGGACAUUAAAUGACGUACCAUAAAAAAUAAAAAGAAAAGAACAAACAACUUCAAAACCUAUAUAUAUAUAUAUAUACAUAUAUAUAUAUAUAUAUUAUUUAAAGGUUGUAUUCUUUUGACUUAAAAAGAAUAAUUGAGGCUAAAGAGAUUGCAAUGAUUUAAGCAUGUUAUUCAUGACUAUAAUGUUUUGGAAAAAUAUAUAAUAUUAUACUUUUUGUAAAAUCAUAAGGAGCGUUAAUGAUUGACAAGUAUCUUAUAAGAAUAUAGUAAAUUUUUUUAAAAAAUACACAUUAUAGUUUUUUAAGACUGUUUGUGAAAUUAAAAAAAAUACACUACUAAUGUACAAAAUACGUAUUGUCGAAACCGUUUUUUGAAAACAAAAAUUUUAGUUUCGACUUAAAAAUAAAAACAAAAACUGGAGUCGCCACCGAUCAUUUAUGAAGGUGUGAUCGGCCCACCUUAAAAAUAAUUUUGGUCUGCGAAAUUCGAGAAAACAGGCUCGGGAGUCAGUUACGCACGAGGAAGGAUUAGCACCCUCGUAACGCCCAAAAUUGGUACCAAAUUGAUUUUUUUUAAUGCCUUGGUGUCGAAAAUUUGAAAAGAUUUUAAAAGGAAACUUUUUAUUUCAUGAAUGGAUUAAAAUAAAAAGACAUUCGUAUUUCAAAGAAAUAAAACACCACACCCAGUGAGUUAGGGCACAAUGUUUUUAAAUCUUCAAAAUACCCGAAUAUUGCCUUUUGCUUUUGAAAAUUCUUAUUUCGAGAAGAAAAUGUCAUGACCAGUAAGUUAGGACCCAACAUUUCGAAUUCCCGAGAAUAAGUUUUUAUUUAAAAUUUGAAUUUAUUGCAAAACAAAUAUUUGGCUUUCUAAACUCAUCGAAAAAUAAUCGCGAUCCAAUAAGUUAGGACACGAUCUUUCACGAGAAUCAUGAAUACCAAAUAUUUUGGAAUUUAUAAAAUAAGAUGAUUUAAAUACUUUGAGAAAACAUAUAUUUUCUUUAAAAGCAAGAUAAAAUGUUAAUAUACAACAUGAUACACAUAUUUUAAUUUAAAUUAUAAAUGUGCAUGUAUUUACAAAAUAUAUAUAAGUGUAAUACACAAGUAAAUUUGAAAAUAUGUGCAUGCGUAUGUUUAACACACAUACACAAAUAUACAUAAAAAACAUGCAUAGCAUAACUUAUAAUAAUCUCCAAAAAUAUGUACGUAUAUUUCAUAAAACAUGCAUAUGUACAAAAAAAUAGAAAAAAAAAAUGCAUAUGCCUUGUAAAAUAUGAGAGUACAUACAUAUAUAUAUAUAUAUAUACAUAUUUAUUUAUAAAAACUAUGUAAACAAAAUAUAUAUAAAAUAUGAGCGUAUAAGGACUUCAAAGGAGAUUGGAUUGGUUACUUCAGUCUGCUCCACUGCAACUUCAGGGAGAUAAGACUUGUAUAUUCGAUCUACUUCACCACCAGUAUGGGAAGACAAGAUCUGUUUUCUUCGAUCUACUUCACGCCAAUACAUGAGGACAAGAUCUGUUUUUUCAAUCGAUUCCACUGCCGACCGGGGAGGUAGAAUUACUGGCUUCAAUAUACUCCGCUGCAACCUCAGGGAGGUAAAAUCCGCCAUCUUCGAUCUGCUCCACUACUGCUUAGGGAGAUAAGAUCUGUAAUCUUCAAUUUGCUCAACUGCAAUGUCGGGGAAACCAGAUCCGCCGUCGUGGCUUCAAUCUAUUCCACCGCACCGUUAGAGAAGUAAGAUUUGCCGUUGUGGCUUCAAUCUUUUUAAUUGCAAUAUCAGGGAAACCAAAUCCGCCGUCGUAGCUUCAAUCUGUUCCACUGCACUGCUAAGGAAGUAAGAUCCGCCGUUGUGGCUUCAAUCUUUUAAAUUGUAAUAUCAGGGAAACUAGAUCCGCCGUCGUAGCUUCAAUCUGUUCCGCUGCACUGCUAAGGAAGUAAAAUCCGCCGUUGUGGCUUCAAUCUUUUUACUUUUCAACCCGCUCCAUUGUUACUCACGGAGACAAGGCUUUAUGAUUUCACCGAUCUGCUCUCUGUGGAACAUGACCUGUAUGACUCACUUUAUGAGCCUAAUUAUGCCUAAUGAUUAGGAUGUCAUGAUCAGAAUGAAUCAAAUGCUCCUAACUAGGCGUGUAUAAAUGACAUUUGAAUAUUAUGUCAUGAAAAAUGAAUAUUGAAUGUGUAAAGUCAUUAUUGCUCAUUAAGGCUUCCUUCGUGGCAACAACGCUUCGUCAAAACUUGAAAAAUUUAAAAUCUCGACUCUUGGCUCCUAGAUAUCUCCGACCUUUUAACCCAGUGAAGGUCUAAACAAUAGUCCUGUUUCAGGUUCCUGAGUUAUUUAAAGAUUUCUAGAGUAAUAUGAAAAACUUCCCUUGUGAAAGUUUUACUAGUCCAUUAAUCGUCAUUCUAAUGCAACAUGCUUGCGAAAAGAUCAUAACGAUAACAUAAACAAAAUUAGUCUGGGAGGAUAGCUCGCAAUGGAUUGUCAAUGAUAGAGGAAUUGUCUGGGGACAUUUAUAUUGAAAAAAAAUGUCAUAAUUUAACAAUGAAUUCAAUACAAAUACUAUGAACAUGUGCCCCAGAUAUCUCUGCUUGAAUUUCUCUAUACAGCUUUCGAAGACCCUUUUGAAUUCAACACGUGUUUAGGAAAUUCACAGUAUUUUGUUGAUGCCCCAAGAUGUCGUCUAUUCCUUUCUGUCGAUUUAGGUACAGCAAGACUACCACGUGACAACCAAAAUUUGAGCCGCCCUUUUUGGGUUUUCAACUCAAAUCCCCUUUGGUCUUAAGGUGCCCUUUGCGGGUUUUCACCUUAGCCUCUCCUUUCCUUUUCUUUUCUUUUCUUUUUUUUUUUUGGAAUCAAAGCGCCCUUUGCGGGUUUUCACCUUGGUUACUUCCCUUCUUCAAGUAAAGUACCUCUUCACCGAAUCUGAAUUUACCGGAUUAGGCAAGUUUUUCCCGUCCAUUUCAGCCAGGAUCAGGGCUCCUCCAGAAAAGGCCUUUUUUACAACAUAAGGACCCUCCCAAUUCGGCAUCCAUUUCCCCUUAAAAUCCUUUUGUAGAGGAAGAAUUUUUCUCAACACCAGGUCCCCCUCGUGAAAUUCUCUGGGUCGGACUUUCUUGUUGUAGGCUCGCAUCAUUCUUUUCUGGUAUAUCUGACCGUGCUGAAUAGCCUUUAGCCUCUUUCCCUCUAUCAAGUUCAACUGAUCGUAUCGAGAUUGAACCCAAUCCGCUUCAUCCAAUUGUAGCUCAGACAAAACCCGGAGAGAAGGGACUUCAACUUCGAUGGGCAACACUGCCUCCAUGCCAUAAACUAAGGAGAAAGGCGUUGCCUCGGUGGAGGUCCUGGUUGACGUUCAAUAAACAAGGAGGGCAAACGGUAAUUUCUCGUGCCAGUCCAUGUAAGUCUCAGUCAACUUCCCUACAAUCUUCUUUAUAUUUUUAUUGGUCGCUUCUACUGCACCAUUCAUUUUCGGGCGAUACGGCGACGAAUUGUGAUGUCUGAUCUUGAAUUGACUGCAGACCUCUGCUAUUGAGCUGUUGUUCAAAUUCAACGUAUUGUCGGAUAUGAUUCUUUCAGGCAUUCCAUACCGACAUAUGAUCUCUCUCUUCAAGAACUUACUGACUGAUGACUUUGUAACAUUAGCAUACGAAGCAGCUUCUACCCAUUUGGUGAAGUAGUUAAUAACCACGAAUAUGAAAUGAUGCCCAUUUGAAGCCUUUGGCGAUAUUGGCCCGAUAACAUCCAUACCCCACAUGGAGAAAGGCCAUGGAGAAGUCAUGACAUGAAGAGGUGAAGGAGGUGCAUGCAUUUUAUCACCAUAGAUUUGACAUUUAUGGAACUUCUUGGAAUAAUUGAUGCAAUCCCCUUCCAUGGUAGACCAGUAGUACCCGAAUCUCAUAAUCUGCCUAGCCAUUGUGAACCCGCUGGCAUGCGUUCCGCAGAUGCCCUCAUGGACUUCUUCUAGAAUUUUCUUUGCUUCUACGGCGUCCACACAUCUUAGCAGUACCUGAUCUUUUCCCCUCUUGUACAAGAUCUCCCCAUCUAAGACGUAGUCAAUGGCUAGUCUUCUCAGAGUUCUCUUUUCAUUCUCCGUUGUCUGGCCAAGAUACUCACGAUUUUUUACAUACCGUAGUAUAUCUUGAUACCAAGGACUAUCAUCGAUUUCCCCUUCUUCAAUAUUGUAACAAUGAGCCGGGUCUUCAUAGAUACUCAUUUGGAUUGGUUUCAUAUCCCCAUUUCUGUUCAGUUUGAUCAUGGAAGCUAAGGUAGCUAGUGCAUCAGCCAUCUGGUUCUCAUCUCGUGGGAGAUAGCAAAAAGUGAUGUCCUCAAACUCCUUAAUCAAUUCGAGGACCAACUUUCGGUAACUGAUUAAUUUGGGAUCUCUCGUUUCCCAUUCACCCCUGAGCUGAUAUAUCACCAAUGCUGAAUCUCCAUAGACCUCUAGCACUUUGAUUCCUCGCUCUAUAGCUGCACGAAUACCCAUGAUGCAUGCUUCAUAUUCUGCCAUGUUAUUUGUACAAUCAAAAUCCAAUUUACAAGUGAAAGGAUAAUGAUCACCAUUUGGGGACACCAGGACUGCCCCAAUUCCAUUGCCUACAGCGUUCGAGGCUCCAUCAAAGUUUAGCUUCCAACUGUGACCUUCUUGGGGACUUUCUUCAGUAGCGGCUACACACAUCAGGUCCUCAUUUAGGAAAUCAAAACUCAACAGCUCGUAGUCCUCCAGAGCUCUACUAGCUAGAAAGUCAGCAAUUGCACUCCCUUUCACAGCCUUUUGGUUCACAUAGACAACAUCAAAUUCAGACAAUAAAAUUUGCCAUCGGGCCAUUCUCCCAUUCAAAGCAGCUGACUCCAUCAUAUACUUUAACGGGUCUAACUUUGAGAUCAGCCAAGUCGUAUGGUAUAACAUGUACUGCCUUAAUCUUCGGGUUGUCCAAAUCAAGGCACAGCAUAAUUUCUCAAAUAGGCGAAUAUCUCAUUUCACAGUCAGUGAAUUUCUUGCUGAGAUAAUAUAUCGCUCUUUCUUUCCUCCCCGUUUCAUCAUGUUGACCUAACACACACCCCAUGGAAUUGUCAAAUACCGUUAGAUACAAUAUCAGAGGCCUAUCCGGGUUAGGUGGUGACAGCACUGGAGUAUUAGACAAAUACUGUUUCACUUUGUUGAAAGCUUCCUCGCAUUCCUCAUCCCAAGUACCAGGAUUAUGUUUCUUCAGAAGACGAAAUAUAGGGUCACAUUUCUCAGUCAGUUGUGAAAUAAACCUAGCGAUGUAAUUCAGUCUUCCUAGGAAACCUCGAACUUCUUUCUGAAUGCGAGGUGAAGGUAAAUCUCGUAUUGCCUUGACUUUGUCUGGGUCAAUCUCGAUUCCCUUUUCACUGACUACAAAGCCUAGCAACUUUCCUGACCUGGCCCCAAAAGUGCACUUCGCUGGAUUAAGCUUGAGUUAGAACUUUCUCAAUCUUAAGAAUAACUUUCUCAAGACCCACACAUGUUCGCCCUCUGUUCUAGAUUUCGCGAUCAUAUCAUCAACAUAAACCUCGAUUUCCCUGUGCAUCAUGUCAUGGAACAAGGCUACCAUGGCUCUUUGGUAUGUCGCUCCUGCAUUCUUCAAUCCAAACGGCAUCACUUUGUAACAGAACGUCCCCCAUAACGUAAUGAAUGUAGUCUUCCUCAUGUCUUCAGGAUGCAUCUUUAUCUGAUUGUACCCAGAAAAACCAUCCAUGAAGGAAAACAGUGAAAAGCCCGCAGUAUUGUCUACCAAUGUGUCAAUGUGAGGCAAUGGGAAAUUAUCCUUUGGACUAGCCUUGUUCAAAUCCCGAUAAUCCACACACAUUCGUACUUUUCCAUCNNNNNNNNNNNNNNNNNNNNNNNNNNNNNNNNNNNNNNNNNNNNNNNNNNNNNNNNNNNNNNNNNNNNNNNNNNNNNNNNNNNNNNNNNNNNNNNNNNNNCUUGCAGAAACCCGGCAUCAAACUGCUUUUGGACCUCCUCCUUUUAUCUUCAACACGAUAUCAGGCCUCAUCCUUCUGAGUUUUUGCUGCACUGGCUUGCAAUCUUCUCUUAUAGGGAGACGAUGGACUACCAUGUCGGUACUCAACCCCGGCAUAUCCUGGUAUGACCAUGCAAACACGUCUUUGAACUCUCGGAGUAAUUCAAUGAGGUCCUGCCUUGUCCUUUCAGAGAUAACCGAUCUGAUCUUCACCUCUUUACCCUCCUCUAAGCUCACGACUUCUAUUGAUUCCCUGUGAGGUAGGAUUUAUUUCUCGGCCCUUUCUACCAUCUUUGACAAGUCAGGAGACAAACCACAGUCUUCGUUGUCUUCAAAAUUAUGCGAUCCCUCUAAACACAUGUUUCGUUCAAAAGGAGACUCUAAAUUUGUAAGAGUGACAUUCGCAUCAUUGAUAUCAUGGGACCUGUUAUAAGUAUGAAAAACAAUAUGGAUUCAGGAAUUUGUUUGGUGCAAUAUGGUCAUGAAUGAAAUGCAAGUGUAGUUUAAGAGAAACUUAAAAUAACUGCUCUUAUGGGAAGAAAGAUUUGCUCCAAAAAUGAUUGCAAACAUGAACUUUAUUAAAAUAACGAUUUUCUGGACAUGAGCCUAUUUCACAAAGGAAUCCUUAUCACUUCUAGGCUAAAAGGCAAUAAGGGUGUUCUGGACAUUACUCUGGGGAAAUCCUAAAAACUACAGGUAUUUCUUCUGCAGUCCAGUUGUUUAGCUCCCUUUCCGACUCGUAAGGACGAAUAUCUGGCAAAGCUCUUCCUCGCGUCACUUCUUCAUACACAACAUGAAUACUCUCUAGCUCCAUGUUAAUACUUCUGACCCCUAGCAUUCUUUGAUAGGUGAAUCCUCCCGGUACAAAAGUCUUGGAUAGGUGAGGAAAGGUCAUGGGUUCCCAUUUGACUUCAUCACCUGUCAAGCGAGCCCUUCUCCGCACUCGCUUAUUUUCCUGCUCUAUCCUCUUCUGCCUAGCAUCUGGCUUGUAUUCUAAGCCAAAACGAUCCUGCUUGUCUUUCAACACUAGAGCCUCAACUCGGCCCUGAAGAUAUCUCCCCAAUCCUCUUCUCGGUAAUGCUCCCUUUCCAACAGUCAACUGCAGACCCAUCUCUGUGGUCCUGGAUAUUCUCGGCAUCGGGAUCUUGUUUCCCUCACGGAUGAAUGUUGCAUUUACAAACUCCAAGGAACGAAAAGAGCAUUCGAUUGGAUCAUCGCUCGUUUCUAGAUAAGUCGCAUCGUUGGUCACAGAUGCAAUGAUAUCUUCUUCAGCAUCUAUCGUCACAACCCUGCCUUCUGACACCAGCUUCAGUUUUUGAUGUAACGAUGACGGUACCGCACCUGCUGAAUGAAUCCAUGGCCUUCCUAAUAGGCAACUGUAAGAAGGCUUGAUGUCCAUAACUAAGAAGUCCACCUCAUAAAUAGUUGGGCCAAUUAACAAGAGAAUGUCAACUCUUCCCAUGACCCUCCUCUCAGUACCAUCGAAUGCUCGAACCACGUUCUGACACGACUUCAUAUGCGAACUAUCCACAGGUAGCCUGUUGAGCGUGGAUAGGGGAAAUACAUUUAAUGCCGAUCCAUUGUCUACCAGAACCCCCGGUAAUAUGCACCCUUUACACCUUGCAAUGAUGUGUAAAGCUCUAGUGGAUCCCAUACCCCCAGGUGGUAUUUCGUCAUCGCUGAAAGAGAUGAAGUUAUCAGCGCUUAUAUUACCGACCAGUCGAUCCAACUUGUUAAUAGAGAUAUCAUCGGCCACAUAAGUUUCAUUUAGCACCUUCAGUAGUGCAUUCUGAUGUCCCUCCGAGUUCAGGAGUAAAGCUAGCACAGAUAUGCGAGCUGGUUGUUUGUGCAGCUGUUCCACAACGCUGUACUCGCUAUGUUUUAUGAACUUCAAGAACUCUCUAGCUUCCUCCUCCUUGAUUGGUUCAUUGACCACCAAUUCAGGUUCGACCGUCUUCUUCUUCUUUCCAAUCAGAGUUUCUUCUCUUAUUGGCUCUACUCGAGCCUUCACCUGUUCGUUAUACCCUCCUUCAUCAUGGUCCUCCUUCCCUGGGAUUGUCACAUUACAAUUGUAAUGCCAAGGAACCCUCCUGUUAUCCUUGUAAGUAAACGCAGUCGGUUUUUGAAUGAUAACCCUUGGUGCUACUCGUGCUCCAGCCUCACUAUUCUUAGGUUGUGAGAUGAUGACCACAGGAUGGUUAACCUUUGGAACUCCCAAUGCCAACUCUGACGUACAUACAUGACUCUCUUUCUGAAUUCCUUCCCAAAAUUCCAUCUCUUUAUUAUCUAUCAUACCCUGUACCACGGCUCUGAACUCCGUACACUCCUGGAUUUCAUGCCCCAUUUCACAGUGGAACUCACAGUAGUUCCUCCUCUUCUCACAGCUUUCUUCUGAAGGAAUUAGCCCCCUUUUCACCAUCUCUUUCCAGACCCAUCUCAAAGGAGUCUUCACGUCCGCAAUGUCUACCUUAAUUCUCAUGUCUUCGUCCAUCAUAUUUACCCCACCAUCAGUGUGAUUUGGUAAUGGGUUCUCUGCCUUGGUGGCUUCAUCAAAUUUAACGACACCCAUACCAAUGAGCCUUUCAACCAGCUUCUUGAAGGCCGUACAGUUUUCUAUGGAGUGCCCCGUGAUUCCCGCAUGAUAGUCGCACUGUGCAUUUGCGUCGUACCAUUUGGGGGACGGGGGCUGUAAGGGCUUCAGAUAGAAAGGGGAAACUACAUGUGCGUCGAAUAAGUUUCGGUAUAAUUCCCUGUACGACAUGGGAAUUGGCGUGAAUUGGGGCCUCUCCGUAUUUCGCCUUGUACCGACCUUCUGUCUCGACAAGCUUUGUUGAUUGGCAGCCGUCUUUCCUGGCUGACUCACUGUUACUGACUUCGAGUAACCCUUGUUGUACAUGCUCACGUUGUUCACCUCGUUUUCCUUCCUUUUCGAAGCUGAUCUUCUGUUACUCUCUCCAGCAUCGAUCUUCCCACUCCUGAUGGUGUUCUCAAUCAUCUCGCCAUUCAUGACUAUGUCAGGAAAGCUUUUUGUGGCACUUCCUAACAUAUGUGUAAUGAACGGUGCCUUCAGGGUGUUAAUGAACAACAUGGUCAUUUCCUUUUCCAAGAGCGGUGGUUGAACUUGGACCGCGACCUCCCUCCAUCUCUGUGCGUACUGCCUAAAGCUUUCGCUCGGCUUCUUCUCCAUGUUUUGAAGGGUGAUCUUAUCAGGAGUCAUGUCUGUCACAUGACUAUAUUGUUUCAUGAAUGCUUGCGCCAAGUCCCUCCAUGAACCAAUCGUAGCUCGACUCAACUGAUUGUACCACUUGGAUGCUGCCCCUGCAAGGCUGUCUUGGAAGUAAUGUAUUAAUAGCUGGUCAUUACUAACGUAUCCAGCCAUUCGCCUGCAGAACAUGGUGAUAUGAGCCUCUGGGCAAGUCGUCCCAUUGUACUUCUCGAAUUCAGGCAUCUUAAACUUAUGAGGGAGAACAAGAUCCCGCACUAAACUCAGCUCUUUUGCGUCAAUGCCUCGAUAGCUUUCAGUAACUUCCAUCGCCUUGAACUUCUCCUCAAGCCACUUGCAUCUCUCUUCCAACUGUCUCGGUAACUCCUCCUUCACUCUUUCCUUCUCAACUACUUCAUCAAAGUCAGGAAUGGCAGAGUUAAUAGGAUUAUUUUCGGGAUUAAAACACGGCCCAGUUUGGAGGUUCGAAACACCAGCUUGAAAUUGCUGAGGCAUGAUUGUGACAGUAGAUUUGCGCGGGUAUUCAUCUUGAGUUCGCUCAUGUGGAGGGGUGAAACCUGGAGGAUAGAAAAGUUCAUCAUCAUUUCCCUCAUCGACAUCUGCCAUGGGGCCCUUUCCUUUGUCACCUCCCUUAGUUAUCAGUCGGGUUAACUUUGCCACUAUAUCCUCUUGAGAUUCCCGCAUCUUCUCAGACAUUUCUUGUUUCAUCUUGUCUAACCGCUCCUGCAUUUGUAGCUGAAUCCAGUCUUGCAUCUCCUUCUGGUACUGUUCGAGCUUUUCUAAUCUCUGAUCCAUAUCUCUUGUCUUUGUUCGAGUGCCGUAUCGGUGUUGGAUUGGUUGGUUGGUUUCCAGGUUAACUGAGCAAUAAUUUUAAUUAAUUAGGAUCAAUUCAAAGUUUUGAAUGCAUAUGAUGCGAUGCAUGAGAUGAAUGCAAGAAAGGCGUUAAUUAUGAUUCAAUUCCACUUGGAAAACUUUAUUAGAAAACAAAUCUCUUUACAUAGAAUAGACUACAAAUACGACUUCGCCCUAAUACUUAAGACCUUGAUUUUUUGAAGCAACGAGGCUAACUCCCGUCCCCGGUCUGACUCCAAUUCAUACUUUACGCUCAACGUGUCAGCUUGUACUGCCAGAGUUUGUAAGUGAUCAGCUACUUCUCGAAUCUGAACCAAGGCUUGUCCCAUAACACGAUCCCUGCUUCUGACCUAAUUCUGGAGAUAGUGAAGCUGUUCGCUUUGAUGAUCUUUGUUUGCCUCCAAAUACUCAAUCCUGGCUUCACAGUUCUGCAAUGCCACCUCUAGUUCUUCUAUAGUUUUCUUCAUUUGCUCGAUUCUACUUAAACUUGCUUGCAGUUCCACCACUGAAUUACGAUUUCGGUAUUGAUGAACAAUCUUCUCAAGUUCGGCCACUCUAGCCCUUAGUUUAUCCCUUUCAUCUUGAUUUUCUGACAAACUCUUCUCAAGCGAUCUAUUUUGCAUCUGGGCUUCUUGGAAUCUUUCUUCCCAUCUGCCAGCCUUGGCUUUUUCUUCUUGAACCUCUUGACGCCACUGCUCUGAGGUUUUUCCCAACCCAGCAGUUCUUACUGACAGACGUAGUCUCUUAUAAUCCGUCUUCAAGCUGUUCAAAUCUUCCUCGACUUUGCGCUUCCCUUUUCUCAGGCCUUCGGUUUCCUGCAUUUGAACAUCUAUGUCCAACUUUAAAUUCACCUUUUCCUCCUCCAUUUUCUCUAUUUUCUUCUCUAAUUCUGCAUUCCUUCUUUCGAGGUCUUAAUUUAUGAUUUCCAGCUCAGAAGGGACGACGCACAAAUGCUCCUCUAUCGACUGACUAUUUUCUGAACUUGGCCCGGGAAUGUUGUCAUUAAUCCUCCUAACACGCCAUUCGUUAUAUUCAGAAGUUGUCAUUGGACCCACGGCUAAUCUCUUCAUUCGGCGAGUCUGAUUCCACGCAUUGGCCAUCUCACGAGCCUUCCUUUUGUAGCCAUCAUCCUUAUAUGAGAAUUCACACUCAGCUAGUCCUUGAGUGGCAGGCACAAACUGUCUUGACCUGUACUGUCUUAACACUAGCAAUGGGGCAUAACCAACAGCUCCCCAAAUCCCGAGCAACGGAACCCAGUCGAAAUCGCCACACCUAUAUAGGAUCUCAUCUGGAAGCAACCACGGAGCUCUCCACUCGAUAUCUUCUUCUUGCAGAUUCUGAAAGAUUGCCAUCCAUUUCUCCUCUGUAAUAUCAUCUCUCCUUGAUGCAGCCACUAUCUCUUUCAACGGUGAAUAACUUUCAGAGAAGACCUGAUAUGAAACCUUAUCAACCUUCCAAAAGUGGCUAUGGAACCACCCAAGUAAUAACUGCGCACAUCUAAAAAAUCUGCCCUCUCCCGUUCUUCGGCAUGCAUUUAAUGACCUAAAGGUUUCUGCCAAAAUCACCGGAACUGGCGUAACUCCCUUGUCAAGCCGGUCGAAUAAAUCAGUGACCGCCUAAUCAACAUGUCCCAAAAUCUUAGGAAACAAGAUUAGACCAUAUAUACUUAGAGCAAAGACGUCCACUUUCUUCCUCGCAUCUGGGUGUGCUAAAAUGAGGUCCUUCAAGUUUUUCCAAGGAAUACACCUACUAUCCCCUUUUUGCUUAAUCCGAGCUGUAACCCACUACUCAUUUAUCCCUGUUAUACUCAUCAACUUCCUCAAGAAGGUUGGUACAUUCACCGCUUUCGAAUAAAUUCUAUCCACCUGUACCUUCGAACACCGAAGUAAAGCCGUGUACUCCUCUAUUGUAGGCACUAGGUCAACCUUUCCGAAUGUGAAGCAACUGUACGCCGGAUUCCAAAACUGGGCAAGAGCUCGAAACAGACGGUUGUCUACCUUCAUGUCAAGUAAAUAAGGUAAAUCCCCAUAAUUUGAAUAGAAUAGCUGUCUAACCUCAUUAUCCCAUUGAUCCCAAAUCUCCUUCAAUUCCUGCAAGUUGUUCUGAGCUACGCUAACACGAGUGAAGUCCCAUAACUCUGAUACGUAUCCCACGGCCAAACUAUCACCUUUUUCAUGCUGUAUCUUCUCAGACCAAGUCCGGACAGCCGUAUUGUCUUCCACUCUAUCAAGAAACCCAUUUCCCAUGAUAAACUUUCUAUAUGGCAACCGAAUAUGAACCAACGCCUUUAUAAUGAAAUGUCAUGCAAUUAUGAUGUCAUGCAAUCAAAACAAAAGAAACCCAAGUUAGUAUCACAUAUAAAAAUAUAAUCCAAACAAGAACACUUAUUUAGGAAUCUACUAGGGUUCAGUAUAGUUCUCCCUAGGGCAAGUUCCUAAAGCUCACUAUAUGAGGUUUAGUUUCUAGAGUAAGGGUACCCGAACCAACAGAUUCCUCGAUCCUCACCCAUUAUAGGCUCAUACAGAUCGAGUUCAGUUCAGGGGGACACAUUUCCCUAUGGCUGCACGGAGAUGAAAAUCUCACGAAGACAUAGGUACGAAUGUAUCCCGGAAGCAGUCCACUAUCCUGCACGGAGGUGAAAACCUCACGAAGGACUAGUUUCUCGCUCCCACUUAAGGGUAAAAUGCAAAAUGCAAAUGCAAAGUUGCCAAAGUUCCAUGAUAAAAUAUCAAUGAGUGCAAAGGGAAAAUUUUUAAAAACUUUUUGAUUUUCGACACAAAAACAAAUAUGAUCAGUUUAUGGCUCGACUCUCUAUGUCCCCAGCGGAGUCGCCAAGCUGUCGAAACCGUUUUUUGAAAACAAAAAUUUUAGUUGUCGACUUAAAAAAAACAAAAACUGGAGUCGCCACCGAUCCUUUAUUAAGGUGUGAUCGGCCCACCUUAAAAAUAAUUUUGGUCUGCGAAAUUCGAGAAAAUAGGCUCGGGAGUCAGUUACGCACGAGGAAGGAUUAGCACCCUCGUAACGCCCAAAAUUGGUACCAAAUUGAUUUUUUUUAAUGCCUUGGUGUCGAAAAUUUGAAAAGAUUUUAAAAGGAAACUUUUUAUUUCAUGAAUGGAUUAAAAUAAAAAGACAUUCGUAUUUCAAAGAAAUAAAACACCACACCCAGUGAGUUAGGGCACAAUGUUUUUAAAUCUUCAAAAUACCCGAAUAUUGCCUUUUGCUUUUGAAAAUUCUUAUUUCGAGAAGAAAAUGUCAUGACCAGUAAGUUAGGACCCAACAUUUCGAAUUCCCGAGAAUAAGUUUUUAUUUAAAAUUUGAAUUUAUUGCAAAACAAAUAUUUGGCUUUCUAAACUCAUCGAAAAAUAAUCGCGAUCCAAUAAGUUAGGACACGAUCUUUCACGAGAAUCAUGAAUACUAAAUAUUUUGGAAUUUAUAAAAUAAGAUGAUUUAAAUACUUUGAGAAAACAUAUAUUUUCUUUNNNNNNNNNNNNNNNNNNNNNNNNNNNNNNNNNNNNNNNNNNNNNNNNNNNNNNNNNNNNNNNNNNNNNNNNNNNNNNNNNNNNNNNNNNNNNNNNNNNNCACAAGUAAAUUUGAAAAUAUGUGCAUGCGUAUGUUUAACACACAUACACAAAUAUACAUAAAAAACAUGCAUAGCAUAACUUAUAAUAAUCUCCAAAAAUAUGUACGUAUAUUUCAUAAAACAUGCAUAUGUACAAAAAAAAUAGAAAAAAAAUGCAUAUGCCUUGUAAAAUAUGAGAGUACAUACAUAUAUAUAUAUAUAUAUACAUAUUUAUUUAUAAAAACUAUGUAAACAAAAUAUAUAUAAAAUAUGAGCGUAUAAGGACUAAAAUAUGUAUGUAAGCAUAUAUAUAUAUAUGAACGUAAAACUAUGAGAAUAAAAUAUAAAAACGUGUGGAUGUGUACAUGUUUAAAAAAAUGUAUAAACACAUAUAUAUAAAAUAUAAGGUAUAAAAAUAUAAAGGAUAAAAGAUAGAAUAAAGGAAAUAAAAUGUAUGUAAAACGUAUGCAUGCAUUUUAAAGCUUAAGGAUGUAUAUAUGCUAGAAAUGAAAACAUGAAAAGUGAAUAAUAAAAGUUAUACGUUUGUAAAAAACGAAAUAUAAAACAAUAUGUAUAUACACGUACAUGAAAAUCAUAAAUGGAAUUAGUGUAAUAAUAAUAGUAAUAAUAAACGUGUAACAGUAUAUUAAAAAAAGAAAAAAAACUAAAUAAAGUAAAGAAAAGACCAAAUUGAAUAAAAAAACCAAAAAAAUAGGGGCAAAUUCGAAAAUAAUAAAAAAGGGAUGAAUUCGAACACGCGAGCGGCAAUGGGGGACCAAAAGAGCAAUUUACCCAGGCCUCCAAAACGCUGCGCUGAAGGGGACUGAAUUGAAACGUGAAUUGAAUAUGCGGCCCAAUUUUAAAACAAAAAAAAAGAUUUAAUUGACAUGCGCUGCAAAAGGGAGGGGUCAAAUGCACAAAUAACCCAUAUGACGUUAGAACGCGCGGAUCCUCCCCUCCGGGUCGGGUCACCGCGCGAGUCACACUUGACCAAAACGACGCCGUUUUGAAUGUUGUUUAAAACAAAAAUUUUCCUUCCAAAAAAAUCCAUUUGAAAUCGAAUGGGAAAAAAAAAAAGAAACUCCGGCGCUCUGCUAGGGUUCAAUCCCUAGCGUCCUUGCGCCGCCACUCAAUCGGCCCUCUCACCAAACUCCGAUCACGACAGAGAUGGCGGUGGCACGGCGUUUUUAGGUAUGUUUUCCUCCCUUUUUGUUAUUUCAAAUGAAAUAAAAUGAAAAUAAAGAAAAAAAUGUAAAAACGAUAAACACUUUUAACAAUAAAAAAGAAAUCACCUUUAAAACAAAACAAGUUUUUUUCUGCUUUUAUUCCCGAUUCUCUCCGUCAAAAAUCCGUCCUUUUUACAGAUAAAAGUCGGCCUUUUAUAGCCUGAAAACCUAUUUGUUUUACACUAUAUUUUCGCUAAUGGACUCUCUGAAUCCGUGUUUGCAGGUGCGUGGAGAGUGGAGGCCGAAACGUGCGGAGGCUGCAGGAGGCUGUUGCGGCGCUGGGCAUGGGCUGCUGAGGCUUGCGGCGCUGAAGCAGAGAGGCUCUAGGGUUUCUGCUUUCAACGUUUUUGGUGUAUUGGGCUUGAACGGCCCAUUUUUGUUUUGUAAAUGGUCUGGGCCAAUUGGGCCUUAUUACACGUAUUAUAUAUAUAUAUAUAUAUAUAUAUAUUAUAAACCAAUGGCUAAAAAUUUUUCUAAUCCUUCUAGCUUUCUUUAUAUGAGAGUCGUUAAAUUUUAGUUUUGAUUCGUAUACUUUGCUCAAAUUUUAAAUUUAAUCUAUAUACUUUAAUUUUUCAUAAUUUAAUUUCUCAUCCUUUUUAAUAUCAUUAGUUAAUUUAAAUAUUUUAUUCCAAAAACUUGAAAUAUAAUAAUUUAAUUAAAAGAAUAAAUAAUCAACACGAAGCAUGGGUGAGAAUCAUAAAUCAUGCAUGACUUCUAUCAUUAAGUAUCCUUAGCAGUCUUUUUAAGCUGUUAUUAUUAUAUUAUUAUUUUAUUCGUGCAUUGAAAUUAAAUCAAAUCCGAAUAUAAUACGUAAUUUCUUUUUGACCGGUCCAAGAUUAAGUUUAAUAAAAUCUAUUUGCUGUAUAUUUAUUAUUAAGAAACAUUGGUCUUAGUACGUCUCCUUUAGAAUAUUUACACUUAAUUCGCAUUAAAUAUAAAAUAUGAUUAUAAUUAUUUAAAUUCUUUUGUUUGGAAAGGAUAAAAUAUGAAUAUUUACACUUGAAAAGUAUUUUGUUUAAUAGGUUGGUUUGUCUUAAUUUUGAAUAUGGAAAUUAAGUUAUCUUGGAAAAGGAAGUUACAUGAGAGAAAAACUUGUUAAUCCUUAGAAUUUUCAGCAUUUUUAUAGUAAUUUUGAAAUGGUUAAUAUUAUUGUUGAGUAUGACUUAUAGUUAAAUUUAAGAGAUAAUCUCUUAGUUAAACUCUGUUUAUUUGUUUCAGUUAAAUUUUGAUUAGUCUAGAUUAUUUUAUUAUUAUUUGACCUACGAAUUUAGCCUAUAAAUAGGAUCUUUUACAACAUUAUAAAAAACACCCAUUAAAAUAUUAGAACUCAUAACACUUUUGGAGAAUUUUGUAUUUACAUUUUGAGGGUUCUUUUUUUUAGGUUUCGGGGUUUAGUUUUUAUCUUCAUCUUUUGUAAUUUUUAUUUUUUUGUCAUUAUAGUAAAAUUAUCUUUAUCCGUGGUUUUUUAUCCUCUUUGGAGGGGUUUUUUUCACGUUAAAUUUGUGUGUUCAAUUUCUCAAUUGCUUCCGCUAUUUUUUACUUGUUUGUUGCUUAAUCGGAUCAAUUCCCAACAAUCAUCAUAUAAUAUUUUUUAUAUGUUGCUAGUGAAUUGAGGACAUAUUUCUAAAAUUUAAAUGAAUUUUUUCUUUUGUAUUCUUUAUAUUCAUUUUACGGUAAUGCAUCACAUAUAAAUCCAUUUUAAAUUGAAAUCCAUGUUUUAUCAUUUACAUUAUCUUAUAUUAUUUUGAGCUAAUUCAAUCAAUUGUCUCUAAAUUAUUGUCAAUAUUUUUAAGGUAUAAUGUCAAAUUGUUUACAUCUUUUUUCAGUUUGGUUCUUAUUCUUUUUUGAGUUAUAAAUUUGGCCCUCAAUUUUUUUUAAAAAAUUGUCAAAUCACUUUUUAAUGAAAAUAUUCAUUAAAACCUUAUUUUUUAACGAUGUUGGUAUGUCAACCCGUGUGGUAAUCCACGUGUACUUCAUGCUAACAUGACACUUUAUCUUAUAUAUCACACCAAGAAAUAAUUUAAAUUAUAAAAAAUUCCAAAAAAAAACGAGAGCAUGAAGUACAUGUGGAUUGCUAUGCGAGCUGUCAUGUCUAAAAACCUAAUGUUUAGCUAAUAUUUCCGUUAAAAAAAUAACAAUUUAAUUUUUUUUGAAAGGUUGAUGGUCAAAUAUGAUUUUUUUUUAAAGGUCGUGAGCCAAAUUGAUAAAAAAAAAUGUAAACAUUAAGGGAUAAAUUUGACAUUAUGCCAAUUCUUAAUUAGUUUUAAACUUCAAAAUAUGUUAUUGACAUGGUAUCAAAUAGGUUUUCCAUUAGCAUAGUAGUUAAUUUAAGUGUUAAAUGUCAAUUAGGAUAUAAUGUGGAGCCUACUUAAAACAUGAAUUAAAUUGUAAAUUUGAGUAUUGUCACUUCCCAAAAAUAAGGCUAGAAGAAAUAGGGAUAAAAUUUAGAUUUUAUUUUUUUAAGCAUAGGGUAAAAGAAUUUAGAAUGCCUUAAAAAUUAUUUUUGAUAAGAAAUUAACAAGAAUUAGUCUACUAGUUCAUUGGUAAGGCCUUAGCUUUCUCUUGGGUCUCAAGUUUGAAAUCUCUUGUUCACCUUUCAAGCAAAAUAUUUUAUUUUCUUAUUUUUACCCCAUAAAAGUGCCGAAUUUUCAAACUAGCCCAAACCAAAAAUUGUUAUUUUCUAAUUUAGUCCUUAAUUUAAAAUAGUCUUGCUUCUCCAUGGAAUCCUAAAACCUAUUUCAAUUAGGGAAAAAGAGUUUUAUAAUUAGGAAAUCUUUUCAAAACUCUAGAAAUUUUAUCUAGUGAAUUUUUCAAGGAAAACUCUCAAGUUCUUCAUUUUCUCCAUCAUUACCAAACCAAUUUUCAAGCAAAGAAAUCCAAGGUUUCCAAAAUCGUCCCUCUCCUCCCAAGUAGACCAUCAUUCUCCUCAUCCAAAUUAAGGUUUUUGUGUCUUCGAAUCAGGUGUGGGAUCUAAACAUAAAUCAUUAUAUAUGAUUAACUGUAGUGUUAGGAAGUAAUAAGACUGCUAUGCAACCCCUCAUGUUAUGCGAACCCCCUUGCAUGUGCGAGCCCUGUGUGUGAUCCCCGUGUGCAAAACCCCCUAUGUGUGAGCUUGUGAGCGAACCUCUAUACGCGAACCCCUAUAGAUGAACUAUAGCUUGUAUAUACAUAUGCAAACCCUCAUGAUUUUUAGUAUAGGAUUUAAGUUGCAAACCCUAUAUAUAUUACGCGAGGCAUAUAUAUCAUGCGCACCCUAAACAUACUUUGCGAGCUUUAUAUAACAUGCAAACCCUAGGUAAUAUGUGAAUCGAGUAUAUCAUGCAAACCCUAGGUCCUAUACGAGCUAUAUAUAUCAUGUGAACCAAAGCUUGCAUAUCAUGAAAAUCCUAGGUACUAUGCGAACCCCCUGUGUUACAAACCCCCUGUAUGUCCGAACUCUGUUAGGCGAACUGAAGCAUAUGUGCGAACCCUACAUGUACGAACCCCUAGGUGCAAACCCUACAUGCGCUAACCCAUAUGUGCAAUCCUAUAUGUGCGAACCCUGUAUGUGCAAACCCUGCUUAUGUAUGUGUUAGCCGAACUAAGAAUGUUAAUAUGCAUGAAGAUAUUGUAUAUGUGAAAUUGUUUUAGAUCGCUUAAAUUAAUUGUAUAUGUGAAAUUGAUGGGAAUGGAUGAAUGAUCACAUGCCAUUAAAUGAUAGUAUGAAAUAUCAAAUGAAGCAUUGAAAGAUGAUAAAUAGCAUAAUAUGCUAAUUGUAUGUGCAUAAUUACAUGAAUUUAGGUAAGAAGGUCGAAGGAGUUCCAUAGGAGAUAGUGGCAAUUCAAGUCCACACCAAAAGUCAGUAUUGCACAGAGUAGGUGGCUAUGUCAUCAAAACUGGAUAAAUCAGGAUGAUAGUUUAAAAAGCCAUAAAAAAUCGGGUAACUGAGAUGGUAAGUUAUUGUUGUAAAAGUCAUCGUCACAUAUGACAAGUGAACGACCAUCGUCAUCGGAAAUCAAAUCCGAGAUGGUUAGUUUUUUUUAUGUGUUUUGGUGUGUCGAGCGAUGCUUGAUGGCGAUUAAGAUGGACAGGUUGGAAAUUAAAUUUAUAAUUGCAUUUGCAUCAUGAAUAAACUAUAUAUGCAUUGAAUCACUACAUGUUCCUUACAUCAGCUUAACUUGUAUUAUGCUUGAUUUGUUAUUAUGCUAUAAAUUAAAUUCUAUAUUAUUUGAAUGAUUAUAUAUAACGGUUUAAAAAUUAGACUCACACUGAGCUAUCAUAAGCUCACCCCCCAUUUCUUUACCUCUUAGGUAAUGCAGGAAACUAGGUCUCGGAAUGGCAUAAGAAGAACCUCGAAUUAGCAACUUGUUUUGGUUUUAUUUAAAAGUUUCAUUAAAAGUUUUCCUUAAUAAUUUAUUUUUGGGUUUGUAAUUAUUAAGUAUUUUCUCGUUUUUAUAUCAUAGGUUUGGGAUUUGUUUAGCUUAUUUAUUUUAAGCAUGUCAUUUGAUUAUUACUCUAAUAUUUGCAUGCUAUUCAGUAUAGGAAACUAUUAUUCUAAAUGUUUUCUGCUGCUUUACAAAAUACUUAAAGUUUUGAUAGGUCUUUUCUUAAAAACUUAAAAGUCGUUUUCUUAAAACUUCAUAUCAAUUAUACUGUAGAUGAACUAAUAAGUCAAAUUGGUUUAAUGAAUGAAUGUUUUUCUAAAAACAAAAGAGUAUUUCCAUACAAAUCAAACGCAUCUAAAAAGAACGGUUUUACAGGAUCACUUCGGUGAUCGAAUGUAAUGCCUUUGACUUAGCCGAAACUCCUAGGCCAGGUCGAGGAUGUUACAUAUAUAUAUAACUACGACAUGAAAAACCUGGAUUUGACGUAUUAAAAACUAGUAUCAAUUAAAUUUUAUCUAUGCAAUAGAUAUAUAUGUUUUUUAUAAUUUGAUCUACGAAUUUUAAAUAUAUUUCAUCUCAAAUUUGAGUUGGCAUUUAAUGCCUAAACUAAUUGUUGAAUUAAUAAAAGGACUUAAUUGAUAUGAUAUGAUAAUUUGAGAACUAAAUUAAAACAUUUUAAAAAUUAAAGAUGAAUUUAAAAUCCCAUAAUUUGAGAACAUUGCGUCUAAUGUGUUUAUGGUGAAUUGUAAACAAAUCCUUGGUCAAACCUGACAUGCUCUAUAAAAAUCCAUGAAAAAUCAGUUGUAAAAAGGUAGAAAAGAAAGGCAAAUACUUUCAGAUGCUUAACCGACUUCAUUCAAUUUUUAUUUUCAUAUAAAAAAUACUUAAUAUAUUUAAUAUAUAUUUGAUGGUUGAAUUUUUUACAUAAAAUAAAUUAAAUUUAUAUAAAAUUUGUUAUGCAUAAUUUAAAGGAAUAAACCAUAAAACAUAAUGGUUUUAUCGUUAAAAUAUUAAUUAUAUAAAUAAUUAUAAAAGUGUAUAAAAUUACUUUAAUUUUUAUUAAUUUUUAAUUUCUUCGUUAUUAUUUUUAUUAAUUUUUUUUAAAAAAAUUAUAAAAUAUUUGAUGUUUAGAAUUUUAAGAAUGAUACAUAUAAACAAUUUCUUUUCUUAGUUUUUAAAUUCAUCCAUUUAAAAACAAUUCUGAUAUCCUAAAGAGAGUGGGUCAAAUAAGUAACAAAUUUAUUUAUUUUAAAAUGCUAACAAGUAAACAAAUACAUUUGAUCACUAAGGAUUAAAAGAAACAUGACAAACAUUUUUUAAAGUAAAAUUUUAAAACUUUAUAUCAAAAUAAGUCAGUAUUUUGAAUACUAUAGAGUCGUAUUGUUCUUUCUUUCCAAUCAUAUUUCCUAGGAAAUUAAUAUAAGAUUACUGGUCAAAAGUUUUGUGAAGAGUAUGUCAAAAGCAGAGAAAAGAAUAAAUAUCAUUCAUGCCCUCAAACAUUUUGAUCGAACUGCAAAAGUUUAAAGUAAAUAGAGGAUAUUUAAACCUUUUUUACAGACAUCAACUUUGAAUCAAAAGAAUCAAACAAAAGACAAAUCAACAUUUCUUUUAAUCUAUUUGUAUUUCUCAUGCACUUUGUUUUCUUGAAUUUAAGUUCUCCUUUUUUGACUUCAAAUAUCACCACUAUUUUUCUUACCUAUAAAUACAUGCAACAAUUGCACUCUUAUCCUCACACAAAUUCUGUGCCAAAUUUCAAGAGCAAACCAAGAAAAGGCUGCAAAUUCAGCUUUUCAAUAUCUGCUUUUGAUCAAUCGAAAUGGCUUCACAAGUUUCUCAAAUGCCUUCUUCAUCACCCCUUUCUUCCAAUAAGGAUGAAAUCCGUCCCAAAGCCGAUUUUCAGCCUAGCAUUUGGGGAGAUUUCUUCCUCAAUUGUCCCGACAAGGUAUACAUACAUAUCACCAUAUUGAUAUAAUCUUAACAUAUUAUUUGUUCAAUUAUUUAGUGAUUCAAUAUGAAGAAAAUUUUCAUUGUUUUGAGCAGAAUAUUGAUGCUGGAACUGAAAAACGCCACCAACAAUUGAAAGAAGAAGUGAGGAAGAUGAUUGUGGCACCAAUGGCUAAUUCGACCCAAAAGUUAGCCUUCAUUGAUUCAGUCCAAAGACUGGGUGUGAGUUACCAUUUCACCAAGGAGAUCGAAGAUGAACUAGAGAAUAUCUACCAUAACAACAAUGAUGCCGAGAACGACCUCUACACUACAUCUCUUCGAUUCCGACUACUCCGAGAGCAUGGAUACAAUGUUUCAUGCGGUAAUUAUUGGAACAGAAACAUAGUGUUUUUAAGUUUCUUGAGAAUAUAAUAGCAUGGAAUGUUUGAUAACGAUAUUUCAUUUUGGGUAAUUUCAUGUCAGACGUAUUCAACAAGUUUAAAGACGAGCAAGGGAAUUUCAAGUCAUCCGUGACAAGCGAUGUUCGAGGAUUGUUGGAACUUUACCAAGCUUCCUAUUUGAGGGUUCAUGGGGAAGAUAUAUUGGAUGAAGCAAUUUCUUUCACCACCAACCAUUUAAGCCUUGCAGUAGCAUCUUUGGACCAUCCUUUGUCCGAAGAGGUUUCUCAUGCUUUGAAACAAUCAAUUCGAAGAGGCUUGCCAAGGGUUGAGGCAAGGCACUAUCUUUCAGUAUACCAAGAUAUUGAGUCCCAUAAUAAGGCUUUGUUGGAGUUUGCUAAGAUCGACUUCAACAUCUUACAAUUUUUGCAUAGGAAAGAGCUAAGCGAGAUUUGCAGGUAUGUUUUUUAAUCUCUUUCACCCAUUUUUUCUUUUUCAUCUUAUUUAUUUAUUUAUUUAUUAGUGGAAGGAGGGUUGAAUUUAUUGGAGACAUCAUUCUCAGUAUAGGAGACAAGUUGCAAAUGCUAAUAUUUGAAUCUUAUUAAAUAGUACAAGUUAAAAGUGAUGGCAUGAACCUUGGAUUCAUCUUUUUCACCUAUAUCAUUUUACUUAUAAAUAUUUUAAUAUUUGAGGUUGCCAAUUGACUUAAAUCUAACAACAUGAAUGUGAAACUAAUUGAAACAUUGAAUAUUAAUUGUGCUAAUGGGGUUUUUUAUGAUAUCAUUUUUUAGGUGGUGGAAAGAUUUAGACUUUCAAAGAAAGUUGCCAUAUGCAAGAGAUAGAGUGGUUGAAGGCUAUUUUUGGAUCUCAGGAGUGUACUUUGAGCCCCAAUAUUCACUUGGUAGAAAGAUGUUGACAAAAGUGAUAGCAAUGGCAUCUAUUGUAGAUGAUACAUAUGACUCAUAUGCAACAUAUGAAGAGCUCAUUCCAUAUACAAAUGCAAUUGAGAGGUUAGAUUUCUUUAAUUUUGUUGGUAAUAGGUUAGGUUUCUUUAGUUGAAGUUAACAUUCAAUAAUAUAUUACGAGGAAUGAUUAAAUAUAACGUUGAAGUUGGAUUCAGGUGGGAUAUCAAAUGCAUAGAUGAACUUCCUGAAUACAUGAAGCCGAGCUACAAGGCACUAUUAGAUGUUUAUGAAGAAAUGGAACAACUGGUGGCUGAGCAUGGGAGACAAUAUCGUGUUGAAUAUGCGAAAAAUGCGGUAUGUACAUCAACAAACAUUUAUUUUGUACAAAAGAGAUAAGAUCUUAGCUAAAUUCUAGAUUUGAAUAAACAACUAACUCGAAUAACAAUAUAUAAUCAUUUAAAUAUUAUUAUCGAAUUUGAAUUGAUAUUAGUGAUAAUUGUUGGGAUUUUUUCGCUUCAGAUGAUACGACUUGCUCAAUCUUAUCUUGUGGAGGCCAGAUGGACUCUUCAAAACUACAAACCAUCAUUCGAGGAGUUUAAGGCUAAUGCAUUGCCAACUUGUGGUUAUGCCAUGCUUGCUAUUACAUCUUUCGUCGGCAUGGGAGAUAUCGUAACACCAGAGACCUUUAAAUGGGCAGCCAAUGACCCUAAGAUAAUUCAAGCUUCCACAAUUAUUUGUAGGUUUAUGGAUGAUGUUGCGGAACACAAGGUAUAAUAAUAUAUUUAGAUAACCACAGGAAACCGAACUCUUAACUAAAUAAUUCAAUGUCUUUGUAACAAAAUCAAACGAUGGUUUUUAUCAUGAUCUAAAAAAAAAUAAAGUUUAAUGUUUAUAUAUAAAAUGUUUAGUCUCAAAUUGAAGAAUAAGAAAAGAAAUCUAGUUUCAUUUUAGGGCUUUUAGUGAGGAAGUAUUGUCAAUAAAUGUAUUUUAUCGUCACAAACAAAGGUAGUUUAAUAAACUGAUAGAUUUUAGGGUAUAUAGUGAUAGAAUAAUUUUGAUUUUAUUAUGGCUGCAGUUUAAGCAUAGGAGAGAAGACGAUUGCUCAGCAAUAGAGUGUUACAUGGAAGAAUAUGGCGUAUCAGCACAAGAGGCAUAUGAUGUAUUCAACAAGCAUGUUGAGAGUGCCUGGAAGGAUGUGAAUCAAGAGUUUCUGAAACCAACAGAAAUGCCAACAGAAGUUUUAAAUCGUAGCCUAAACCUUGCAAGGGUGAUGGAUGUACUUUACAGGGAAGGAGAUGGAUAUACAUAUGUUGGAAAAGCGGCUAAGGGUGGAAUCACUUCAUUGCUUAUUGAACCAAUUGCACUUUGAAAUUUAUAUUAAAUUUUCCUCUUCAAGCAUCUUCCUUAAGAAAUAGUUAUUAAGUUCUAAUUAAUAAUGUUGUAUAAUAUUCAUAUAUAUUAUCAAAGAAAGUCCGAAUCGAUUGUCUUUGUACUCAUUACCUUCUAUUAAUUCAAUAAAGUUCUUUUCAAGCUUUCCAUUAUGAAAAAUAUUCUUUUUUAUAUUUUAUAUUUACUUAUUUUUAUAUACUUUUUUAUAUAAAAGAAUAUGUGAUGUAAAAGUAGGACGAAUUAUAAAUAUUGGAAUUAAGAUAAUAAUAAAAAUCCACUAUCCCUUACCACUUUAAGUUUAUUGACAUAAACUUUGAACUCGUUAUUUAUUUAAUUUUGAUGAAGUUUGACAUAUAAAAUACAUUGAUUAAGUUUGACAUAUAAAAUACUCACUAUUAAUUGCGGCUUAAAAAUCAUCAAAUUUGUAGCCAAUCUUAAAGGAUUAGUAGUCAAUUUCAAAAUAAUUAUUUCUUAAAUGGAAUGAUCGGAAUGGAUUAAAUUGGUUGAUUGAUUAAUUUUUUUAUCAAGUUUAAUUAGGGAAAUAUUUUGUUUCAGAUAUUGGAGUGGAUGAUUUCCAUAAAAUAGAGACAUAGAUGUGAUUGAUCAGACUGACAGUACAUCGGACAAGAACCAAGUAGAAUAAAUUCUAGAUCCAUUUAUGGAUUUAUUCACUUAUGACAUUCAUAGUGUGAUAUACUUUAAUAUUGAAUGGAUAAUUGAAUGGAUAAGGGAGUAUGUAUAUGUGACUCGGAUGCUUUGAUGUAAAUGAAAACAGGUGUUCAAAUAGAUAAAUAAUCCAAAGUUGGUACAUUGGGUAUAUGACUUCUGCAUGAUGUAGGAUCAUUCCACAAUAGUGAAAUUCAUAGCCCAAUUAAGGGGAAAUGAUGAUAGAUGGAAAGUAAUGUGACCAUAGGUCAUUUGUCUUAGAGAUAAAUUAUUUAAUUAGUAAUUGACUUUUCAUGAAUGAAGAUGUUAUGGUUACCAUGACAUAAAACAGUAUCAUAAUGGGAGCACGGGUUUAUCUCAAAGAGAUUAAGGAUAUCCUAUGAGAGUAACAUACUUAUGACAAGGUAUUUGAAUGAACACUUAAUUAGUAGAUUUUAUAAUAGUAUAUAAUAAAGAAGUGUUCAAUCAUGGUACUUUAGUGGAAUGACUCUAUAAUUAAAUAAUAUUGUAAUUAAUAGAUGAAGAGUCGAAACUUAAUUACAAAUUAUUUGAGCCAUAAUUUUAUAUGUUCAAUUGGUCUCUCUGUUAGCUCAAGAUAAGUCAAAACAAAUUGCAUGCAAAACCAAUCAUAUGAAAUGAAUGAAAACAAUGAAAUAAGAUAAAUAGAUUGCAUGUAUACUAUCUGUAAUGAAUGCAUUUUCUCGCUAAUUACAAAAGAUGACUUAUAAAUUAAUUUAACUUCUUUAUAUUAUUAUUUAAUUAAUUGUAAUUAUUUAGAAUUAAUUUAAUUUGUCAACAUGGAUUUAUUGAAAGGGAUAAUUAAAUAUUUUUCCUCCUAGAUUCUAAUACGGUAAAGUUGUGUGACUUCAACAAAAUUAGAAUUGGGUUGAGAAAAGAAUUUAAUUGUGAAAUUAAUUUAACUAAUUAGUUAAUUAAAUUAAGUUAUUAAUUAAUAUUUUAAGAAAUAGAAAAUAAUUAUUGGGUUAGAUAAAUUAUAAAUAUUAGAUAAAAAUCUAGAUAACACAUAUAAUAGUACCUAAUACAUGAAAGACUCAAAUUAAGCCCGGUUUAAUAUAAGGAGUAACAAACCCUAAUACCCUAGGGGUGCCACUACCCACUCCUUAUUCUACUUCCAAGUAGAAUUUAUAUUUUUAUUAAAAUAUAUAUAAUUAAUUACACUUAAUUCGAACAAAACUCUUAUACCAUAUCUCUAUAAAUAACACAAUUUUGAGAGCACCAUUAUUUUGUCGAAAAAUAGUGACAAUUUUAUUUUAUAAUAAAUUUUAUUUUUUGAGAAAAAUUUAAUUUUUGGUUAUAGAGAGAAUUAAUUUUCCCUUUUGAAAGUUAAAAAAAGUUGUAACACCCCAAGAUUUGGGAAUUCCUAAAUUUGGACGCAUAGUUCAAAAGUAAUUUGUUCGUUCAAAAGUCCUAAGUUGUAACACAUGCAGAAUAAAUUAUUAUGAAGAAAGAAAGAUAUUAAUUUCAUUGAAAACUUUGAAUUAUAAAUAGACGCCUUUGGUGAAAUUUACUUAAUUCCCUUUCAAUAUUUCAUUUCAAUUCUAAUGUAUUAGAUUUUCUUUUAAGGCAUCUAUUGGAGCGAGCGUAGUAACUAAUUUUUCGUAUUCUGUAGGUUCAUUAAAGGAUAGAUGUUGACUCUAAAUUUUAAAGCCGCUUCAUAUUUAGGACCCAUAAAAAAAACAUUAUCAUCUCACUUAACUCUCGUAGUUAAUGUAUUAGAAUAUUUUAAAUGAUGAAUUUAAAUAUAAAUUUUUAGUAUCGACUAAAUCAUACAGCUACGGAGAUUACAAUUCAAAUUAAAAAAUAUGUUAAAUUAAAUAGUGAAAAAUACGUUAUUCAAAGAGUGAAGCUGUCUUGUUUGUAUGGUUAGAUUUUAUUAGAAUUUUUUUUAUAUAUUUCAUGCUUAUUUUAUGGUUUACGUUUAUCAGUUUUCGUUGUUUUUUUCAAUGAAUUUCGUAACUAUACAGUGAGAAUCCGUCACUAAAGUUGACUAAUUUGUCAUUUCCGAUGAUUCAAAUGACUUUUCAACACUCUAAGUCUAGAGUCAAUAUUUUAUUGCUUUUUUUUAGAUGGCUGAAAAUAUGAUUAAUGUGCCUUUCUUUUCUUCCUUAAAUUAUGUCAUUAUGUUAAUUAACUUCUUUUUUUCAUAUUAUUUCAAUAUAAUAUAUAUUAGAAUAAAUUUAAAAAAUCAAAAAUCAGUUUUGAGUAAUUAUUAUUAUUUGAAUAAUCUCAUUAUAGGUUCUGGUCAUAUUAUUUUUAACACAAUGGUUAAAACUAUCCAUAACCCCUCUCCAACGAUAAAUAAGACUCAAACGCACAUACUCCUGUAUUGACAACAAUAUCCAUGUUAAUCGAACUAAAAUUUAAUCGACAUAGCUAAUUUUUUUUUAAUAUACGAUAAAAGAUAAACCAAACUUUGAUCUUAUUAAUCCAAACUCAAACAUGAUUAUCUUGAUUUGAUAAUAGGAAAAAAUUUAAAUUAACCCAAAAUAACUUAAAUGGAAAACACCCAAACUUUAAAACUCUUGCAAGUAUUUGAUUGAAGAUUGUUAAUUAACAUUUAAAAAAAUUGUUUUACGUUCAUUACAUUAUUUUUAUUAAGCUAAAAAGUAAUUAAUGGUGUAUAUUUUAAUGUGAUCCAACACCAUAUGUUAAAAUUUAUUAGUAUUCAUUUUCAAGAUUUGGUUAUGAUAUUUAAUUUCGUUUAUCUUAUACUCUUGUUUUCUUUUCCCAAGGAAUAUUCAAUAAAUGUUGCCAAUGUAUAUCUCAAAAUAAUGACUAUGAUUUGAAAUAAAAUAAUGUUAGAUGCAUGUACCUUUCUCUUUGUUUCUCUAUUCGAUUUUUCUUAAUGAUAAUUAUAUCUACCAUUUGAGUAUUUAAUCAUUACUAGGGGACUGAAGGUAGAAAAAAUAUUUUCAUUAACGUUUAUGUAAGAAUUAAAUAAAAAAAUUUGAUUAAAAUUGUAAAGUGAAAUAUUUAAAAAUUAUAAUAUAAAUUUAUCGAUUCUAUAUAAAAAUAUGUGAAAAAGAUAAAAUCACCCUCUGACGAAUUUUUAAAACCAUACGAAGCCGCCACCAAUUUCUUUUAAAGAGUGGUUGACUGCAUAGAAAGUUUAAAAUCAUUAAAACAAAUUUUGAUGGGCGAAACUAAAUCUGAGUUUAAGAGCACGAUUAUGCGUCAGAAAGAAAGAUGUUAGCAUCCUCAUGACACCCAUUAUUAAAGGGAUACCAAAAUAAUCAUGAGUAUUUGUAGAUUGGAUUAAAAUAACUUUAAUUCUAAUAUUUAAAAACCAUUGCUCAUAAUAAAAAAUAAUUUUUAUUUAUAUAAAAUGAAUUUUUACUAGAUCCAAAAUGGUUGGUAUCCUUUGAGAUAAAUAGUAAGAAUACAAUAAUAAAUUAAGCUCUCAACGUUUAUAUUUUUGUCAAUUUGGCCUUUUUUUUUUCAAUUAAAUUUUGUCAUUAAACUUUUAAAAAGAGUUGAAUCGCUUUUCUUUACUAGAAAUGUUGAUUAAAACAUUAAGUUUUUAACAACGUUGGCAUGGCAAUCUAUGUGUACUUCACACAACAAUUAAUUUAAAAAUAUUCAAAAUUUAAAAUUUAAAAAAAGUUAAUAAAAACUCAAAAGAAAUUUGCAUGAAAUAUAUGUAAAUUGUCAUGUGAGGUAUCAUGUUUAAAACAUUUAAUGGUUAAAUUCAAUUGUUAUUGAAAGAUUAAUGGUUAAAUUUAACUUUUUUUUAUAAGAUUGAUGACAAAAAAAUAAAGGUUAAAUUGAUAAAAAAAAAAGAUAAACAUUAAAAACUAAAUUUACGAGUAUGCCUUUAGUCACAUUUGUGGGUGGUACAUAUACCCAAAACACUUUGUUGGGUACUUUACUAUUGAGGUUGUCCACGAUAACAUAUAACCCACAUGUGGUGUUUCCACUUUUGAAACCCAAAAGAUAUAUCCCAAGUGCAUGUUGCAUAGAAGACUCAAACACGCACACAUCCUAAUAACACAAACAAAUUUUGCAAUCUCUCACAUGAAAUAAACAAAAUUUGCAAUCUCACACUCUGAAGGACUCAAGAAUAGUGAGAUUCCAAGAGCAUGCAACCAUACACCUAAAACCAUGAAAUUAUUUACCUUCAAUUCGUGUUUAUUCGAAGUAAGAUUUCAUCGUAUGCAAACGAGAGAGGGUUACAAUACAAAGUAGAUCCUCUCUAUAUAUAUGCUCCCUUCUUGGUUCUUCUUCUACCUCACUUGUAAGCUUCCUGUCUUUCUCCUUUGAAUGCUUCACUGUUCUCUUCACCUCUCUCUUUUUUCUUAUUACCUUUUUCUUUCUCUUCCCUUGCAAAAUGAGGGAGGAGGUCAUGCCACCCUUAAAUGUUAAUAACAUUGACAAAUACCAUAAAAACCAAAAAAUAAAAAUAAAAAAGAAUCAAAAUUUAUAGUCAAAAUCAAAGUUAAGGUCAAAAAUUAAAAUCAACCGCCGAAACUUAGAGCAAUAUUAAACUUGGAUUUUUCAAAAUUAAACUUGAAAUAUGGUUACCUGCGGUAGUGACUUUAAAAUCGAGUUUUUCCCGAAUAAGAAUGAGUUACAAUACAUAUAAAUAAUAAUUUCUUAACUAUUUUUCUUUAAAUUUUAAAUUAAAUUAAUAUUUAAUUGAUUCGUGAUACCUAUUUAAAAUUUUAAUCUAAAGUAAAUAUAUCCAUCAAUAAAUGUCUUAAUAAUACUAUCACUAUCUAUAUUUUUAGUAAUUAAAAUUAAAUUUUCGAUAAUGAUCCAUUUAUAUACGUAUAAAUUUAAAGUAAUUUUACAGUUUUUUAUAUCUCUUAAUAUGAUUAAUAUUCUAAGUAUUUAAUCGUUAAAAUUAUUAUUUUAUUUAUAUAUUCUAACUAUUUGUUUUAGGUAAAAAAAAUUAACCAUUCAAUAAAUAUUAAUAUAUAUCUAUAGUAUUUUAGAUUGAUGUGAUGAAGAUAUAUAUUAGAUUAAUUCAAAAAUAUACAUGCAUGACAAGUAUAAUUAUAUCAAUAAAUCCGACGGUUAAAUUGUUACAAUAUUAAUCUUAAAAAGAGAUAUGAAAGAGUAAAUCACUGUAAAUAGAUCUCCCAAAAUAAUUUGUAGUUAAUGUCCCAAAUUUCCAUAUAUAUAUAUAUAUAUAUAUAUAUAUAUAUAUAUAUACACGAUAAUGUGACCACUAGAUAGACUAUUUUGGACAUUAAAUGACGUACCAAAAAAGGAAAGAAAAAAAUAAUUCAAAAACGACACACUCUCCAUUGAUAUUUUCAUUUUAAGGUUGUAUUCUUUUGACUUAAAAAGAUAAUUAAAAUUAAAAAAAAAAUACAAUAAUUUUAUCGUGUUAUUGAUAAAUAUAAUAUUUUAGGAAAAUAUGGAAUAUUUUACUUUUGAAUUUCAUAUGGAUAAUAAAUGUGUAUAUAUAUGAACUCUUCAAGGAUAAUUUAAUUAUUAUUUAAUAAGAAGAUUUGGUAACUAACGUAUUGUUUUGACUAAAAGGACGUUUAGUAUGAUGGAAAGUUAUCAUUUUUUAUGACAUAUAAUUGGUUAAAAUGUGAUUCAAAUUUAAUUUCCUUGGAAUGUAACAUUCUCUUUGGAGAUACUUUCCUUAGGUAAUGGAAAGUGAUUCCCUUGAUAAUUGGUAAGAAAGUUACUUUCUCAUAUAGAUCGAAAGUAAAAAGAAUUUAUUAAGACAAAAUUAUAAUUUUUUUUUCUAUUUGUGUUUACGAUUAAAAUUUAAAUUGAAUGUAUUUUUUAAUAUAAAAUUUUUAAAUUAUAGUUUUUCGAUGAUAUGAAAUUUUAGUAUCAAGAAAAGUGCUCAAACGAAAUUUAUUUUCGAGUUUAAAAGAAAUAUUUCAUUUCUUAAUGCACAAAUACUUGCUAGCUUUUUUAUACAACAAUAUUGAUCCAUAUCUUCUACAUCUUUGGAGAAAAAAGGGAGGUGCAAGAAGGAGAAAAUAAGGCGGCGAGCAUAAUGGUAAAACCAGGGAAGAAAAGAGGAUAAUGUCAUGUGCUUACUGUCUCUAGUGCUUGAAACCAUUUUGAGCUAUUUUUUUCUUUGAAUCCAAACCUUCCUAAGCCUUAGAAUGUUACAAGCCGAGAAGACCUAUGUGACCUAAGCAUUUCCUUUACAUGAUCUUCUUGACUUGUUUAUAGUUAGCUUAUUGAAAGCUUUGGAUUUGCAUGUUGUGUCUACUAUAUAUCUAUAUAAGUUAUAUUGAUGGAUAACAUAAUUGAGUAUUUACUCAUUUGAAUCGCCAAGGUUUAUUAGUUUUUUAACUUAGUUAACUAGGUAGAUUUGCUUUAGGAGUACUUAAGUUAGCUAAAAAUCAAUCUUAAAUUGCAUGUGAAAUACGUCUUGUAUAAAUUCAAUAUUCGAUUGUCAUGCUUCUUAUUGUUCACCAUAUUCCAAGGGUCAUCUUAUGCAUGUUUUGUGUGUUUGCUUGUGGACAAACAACAACUUAAGUAUGGAGGAGUUUGAUCUAUCGUAUUUAUGUGUUAAAUUAAGCUAUUUAUUCUUGAGUAUUUUAUAUCGUCUGUUAUUACUUUCCCACAAUUAUUAGAUUUAAUACUUAACAUUAGUUUUUAUUUCGUUUUUAUGUUUUCGGAAUAAAAUGACAAGUUUAUGACAUUAGUAACUUAAUCUUUGAGUUAAGCUUGGUACAGUUACUUGGUUGAUGUGAAAAUGAGAAGAGGAGCCUAAACUAGAGCAAAGGUUGCGACACCAAUGCUUCCAACAUCAUCCGAGGAGUGAGACUUCAAUAAAUUGCACAUUUGUGGAGAUUACUUCCAUUGUUGCGACACCAAGGAGUUGAUGUCGCAACACCAACCUUGGUGGUUUUAACACUGGGCUAGCAAUGUCGCAACAUCGAUCAUAGCCUCUAAAGUUGAAGAACUCAAGUUGCCUGAAGACAAUGUCAUGACACCAAAGGCCAUUGUUGCAACACUAAAAUACCCAAUAACCCAAAUGUGUAGACUAUCAUAGGUGUCGUGACAUCGACCCUUGACGAGGCAAAAUAGUUGAGGGUAUUUUAUUGUCCAACAACCUUCAAAUUAGAUUUUUAAGGGGGGCAUAAUUAUCAUUUUUAGGUUAAGUUAGAAAAGACUAUAAAAACUACUUUAUAAGUCUUUUUGUAGUAGAGUUGUAGGGUAGAACAUAUUUCUACUUUUCAUCUUUUUAGAUUAUAUUUAUUUUUCUUUUCUUUUCUUUCAUUUUCUUUAGAAUAAUUUUAGCUAUAGAUUUUCUUCUCUUUUAUCGAGAACUCUGUAAAUGGAGAUGAUCAAGCUUGUGGGCUUCAUCGUAUUUUAAUCUAUUAAUGAGCAUUUUCUCAUAUCCUUAUCUUUUAUAUUUUAUUUCUACCAUGUGUUUAAUAAAAUGCUUGUGUAGGAUUUAAGUUUUAUUAUAUGCUAAAUUGGUUGAUGGUUAGUUGAUGAAAGUGGUCCUUUCUUGGUCUUCCUAAGCCAUCAAGAUGUGAUUAUGCCCAGAAAAAGGUGUCAACCAUUUUUUCUUUGACGAGGAGAGGGAAGCUAUCUUUUGGGCAAGCUUUAUUGAGGUUGGUGAAAUCCAUACACAUCCUUCACUUGCCAUUAGACUUCAACACCAUGACUAUAACACCUCACACCCGACUCGAUUGUUGGAUCCAAAUGCGUGAUGUCACAUUACGUUACCGAAACAACUCAAACUAUCUCAUUUUAUAAUAAUAAAAUUUAAAUCAUAAUUAUCAUAUAAACUGAUUUAAUCAUCAAACAUACUCACACAUAUGCAUUCAUAGUGUUUAGGAUUCAAUUCAUCAUGUUAUGGGGUUAUGCAAGGUUAAAUUUAGAGUUAGGACUCAAAUCCAAACUCAACUAUCAAAUUUCAAUGUUAUGUCUCGAGAUAGAGGACUUCUUGUUUUCAAGAUAGUCCUCAUUUUAUUUUAGGUAUUUUUUCUUCGAUGCCAACAUGUCUCGAGACACUGGAGGUAGUGUCUUAAGGGAAGGUUCUUUGCGUCUCGAGGCCAACCUCCCCUGUUUCAUUAAUUUAGCUUCGAUGUUUAAAUGUCUAGGGACAAGGGUUCUUGUCUCGAGACUUGAAACAGAGCAAAUCUAAUUUAGCUUCAAAGUUUACUUGUCUCAAGACAAUGACCCCUUGUCUCGAUGCUUGAAUAGGAUUGUCUCGAGACUAGCUUGCCAAAUCUUGAGACACUAAACAUAUAAGUUAAAUUAUAAGGUAAAUUUUGUUCUUAUGGUCUCGCGACAUGUUCCUACUAUCUUGCGACUCAAUGGUAAAAUAGCUUUAAAUGCACAUUGUCAUGUGUCCAAACCAUACCAAAUGGCACAUUAAAUAUACCAAAAUUUUACAUCAAAUUAAGGCCAUAAAUUAAACACAUAUAAACACAAUUAAACAUCAUCAAAUCAUAACCAUCAAUGUAACAUCUUUUAAACAACUAAUUUACAUAAUCAAACUGAUAUAAACUAGAAUAAUUAACUACUAAUUAAAUAUUAAAAUUCAUCUUAUAAAACCUUAUAGGCCAAAUACAAAAUAUACCAAAAUUAAAACUUAAGCAACAUGCCUAAAACAACCUAGGUACAUGCCAUUUCAACUCAAACACACACACACACACAAAAGAGGUAAUAAGGCAUGUUCUGAGUUGAGUUGUUGAGUUGGAUGCUGGGCAUUAUAAUCUACAUCUACUAACGUUCAAUACUUGCACAUAAAAACAAACAUAACCAUACGUUGAGUAUCGAAUACUUAGUGGUGCUUGUUGAAACCUUCUUUUUUUUUUUUGAAAAUGACUUUUAUUUAAAAAAAAUAAAAAUGGAGUCGCCACUGAUCCUUUUUAUUAGGUGUAAUUGGGCCACCUCAAAUUUUAACCAUCUUAAUAAAAUAUUAGAUUUUUCUAAAAUGAUAAUUUUUAGCCUACGAAAUCCAAGAAUGUGGGUUCGAGAGUCGGUUAUGUAUGAGGAAGGAUUAGCACCCUCAUAAUGUCCAAAAUUGGUACCUAGUUGGUUACUUAAUAUUGUGAUGUCGAGAAUUGAAAAUUCGAAGCAAAUUUAAAAUACGAUCCCUCUUUGUAUGAUAUUAAAAUAUCGCUUAACUAAAUUAAUUUUCACAAAAAGGCCUUCUUUCAAGUUAAUCGAGAAGAAAAGAUCGUGCCCUGUAAGUUAGGACACGAUGCCUUAAAUCCUCGAAAACAAGAAUAAUCGUCAUUUGAUCAUUACUUAAAUCUCGUUUAUUUUUUAUUUUUAAAAUAGAUAUUCAACUAUUUGGGUUUUAGAAAGAGGCCAUACUCCAUAAGUUAGGAGCACGACUCCUCUAAUUCAAAAAUAAUGAACACUGCCUUGGUUUUCCUUUAAAAUAUUUCCUAUUCAUAUGGUAAAACGAAUGCAACCUUUUAACAAUUGCUUUUUAAUUUAUCUAGGCCUAGUAGUAAAAUGGAUGAAUAUGUUUAACGCGAUACACGGCAUGGAUGUUAGCAAAAUAAAGUAACAUAGUAACGGGUAAAAAUGAAAUGAUGAUAUUAAAAUGAUAAGUAAAUAAAUGAACAAAUCAAUAAAUCAAUAAAAUAAAAAAAUGAUAGGUAAUAAUAAUACAACUAUAAUGAUAGUAAAAAAAACAAUUUAUAGUAAUAAUAACGAUAAUCAUAUUAUAAUUACUAUAAUAAUAAUAAUAAGGGCGAAAAAUGCACAAUAAAAAGGAAAUAUAAGUAACAUGAAUUUUAAUUAUAAAAAGGGUAAAGAAAUAAUAAAUAAAUAUAUAAAAACAAUUCAUAAAAGGUUAAAAUUAAAUAAACCAAGGACUGAAUCGGAACUAAAAUGAAAUUAAAAGCAUAAAUUGUAAUAAAAUAAACAAACAAGUAAAUAAAGGACUAAAAUAAGAAAUGUGAAAAUAAACAAGGCUCAAAUUGGUAAUUAUUCCAAACCCCAGGACACAAGUCAUUCCCCGGCAAAUGAAGGACUAAAUUGAAAACAAGUUAAAAUUAAAUGGUGUAAUCUAAAAAGAAAAAAAUUGAGAUUAGGACCAUAUCAAAAAGAAGGUUCAAAAGUGGAAGGACCAGGACCGCAAAUAGACCACUCUACGAAAACACAUGGAUCCCAAGGGAUCCGGAUCGGGUUGGCGGGCCAAGCUUCAAAACGAAACCGUUUCGGGACUUUUGAACACCGGCCAAAACGGUGUUGUUUAGUCUUGCUUAUAUAAAUCAAAAUUUUUUUAAAUCUGCUUAGGUUUUUAAAAAAAAUUUUGAAACCCUUUCUUUUUCUCUCAGCCUUUCUUUAGGUCCGGCCUUUGGCCCGCCGAUGCUCUGCCAUGGCCACCGAUCAUCGGCGACAACAACCGUCCCCUCCGAUGGCCGGAGUCCAAAAAAACCCAUUUUCAGCCCUUUUCAACCCUAAAACCCGGAUCUAAAGGCAAAUGCCUUUAAAAAAACAAAAAAAAUGAAAAAGAUUUCGGAUUUCCCCCUUUCUGGUCGCGCCCUUUUGUAUCCCCUUUUAUUGAAGCCCAGACGAAACCUAAUGGGUUCGACGACUCUCAAGAUCGAGGGAGACCCCCGACGGCGGCGCGAGACGAAGCCAGGGAAAAGGUUUUAUAUUUAUUUAUUGUUUUUGAAUCUAAAGAAACAAAGUAAAUCACCUUUUUUUUGCUUAAUGUUUGUAUCCGAUUUUUAUUUCAAUCUUCUCAGGCGGUGAGCACGCUGACGUGGUGAGGCGCGGUGCAAAAGGGGAUCUAGGGUUUUUAGCUUUCUGAAAAUAGUUUAGGUUAUGGGCUAUUUGGCUUUAGGUUAUUGGGUAUUAGGUUUAGCAUAUGGGUUGGGCUAUUGGGCUCUUUUUGUUUGGGCCAAUCUAGUUUGUAAAUGGACUUAGACUUUUAUUUUUCAUUUUUAUUUUGUUUAUUUAUUUUUGGUUUCUAUUUGGGUCAGAAAAAAUUGGGCCCUUACAAUGCUAAUAUAAUUCAAAUUCAAAUAUAUAUUGUGUUAAGAAUAAACUAAAGUAAGUAUAUAUAACAAGUAUCAAUUACGUAAAUGAAUACUACUUUAACUUAUCAUAUCAUUUUCCAACUUUCAUAUUCAUUUCACAUUUCAAUAUAAAUUUCAAUGCUUAUUCAUUUUUCCCCUAUUAUCCAAUGAUAGAUAUUAGAAUGGAUACUUAAAUCUGUAUAUAUCAAGUAACUCCACAACCCUUUUGGAAACUAGGACUAUUUUAUUCUGUCAUCCCGGGUUGCUCGACAACGAUGAUUUUCAAUAUUUUUCCCACUAUUUAUUCAACCAUUCUGGAUUUCCCGACAACGAUGGCUACUAAAUCACUAUAUUGAUGACCCUAUGGCAUUCCAACUAUACCCGAACUACGUCUAACAUCGUUUAAUGGGGCAUUAACAUCAUAUUCACUGCUCUAACAUAUAUCAUUAUAAUACCAAUGUCCAAAUAUUCAUAGUCACAUCCAAAGCAAUUUCAAAUAUUUAUCACAUAAUUCAAAUAUCACCAAUCAAAUCCAUUAUUCAAAGUUGAUAGGGAAAGAUGCCAUUAAGUCAUAUUGAUUACAACGACUAAUUAAUCUACGAAAGUAAAUUGGAAUUGAAUUACAAAAGCACAAACCACAAUAGUUAUUUGUGUUCACUUUUUCUUUCCCCUUCACCUUGGACAUUCCAACAUCGUCUUUCACUACGAUCGAUAAUACAGUAUAAUCAUACAUAUCUUAUUUACCAAAAUUUUAUCGACUUAACAAGAAUAUAUAUUAUUUUUAUUAUAUAUUUAUAUAUAAUGUUGAGUAUGCCUCAUAUUUUAGUCAAAUUUGAGAGAUAAUCUCACAGUUAAACUCUGUUUAUUUGUUUCAGUCAAACUCUGACUAGUCUAUAUUAUUUUAUUAUUAUUUGACCUUCAAAUUUAGCCUAUAAUAGGCUCUUUUACAACCUUAAAAAAAAUACACUCAUUAAAUAUUAGAUCUCAUAACACUUUUGAAGAAUUUUGUGUUUACGUUUUGAGGGUUCUUUGUUUUCGAGUUUCGAGGUUUAGUUUUUUAUCUCCAUCUUUUGUACUCUUCAUUCUUUUGUCAUUAUAGUAAAAUCAUCUUUGCUCGUGGUUUUUUUAUCCUCUUUGAAGGGGUUUUUCCACAUUAAAUUUGUGUGUACAAUUUCUCAAUUUCUUCUGCUAUUUUUACUUGUUCAUUGCUUAAUCGGGUUAAUUCCUAACAAGUGGUAUCAGAGUUAGUUCGAUUUUCAUAGAUCAACUCAUUCAGAUAUGGCAGCAACAAAAUUUGACAUUGAGAAGUUCGAUGGUGUCACAAAUUUCAAUUUGUGGAAAGUUCGGAUGAUGGCAAUUCUAGUUCAAACUGACCUGAAAAAGGUUGUUACUGGGAAAAAGCCUGAGAAUCUAGAUCAGACAGAGCGAGAAGAGCUUGAUGAAAAGGCCCCUGUCUACAAUUUAGUUGUGCCUCGCGAAUAAGGUAUUACAGGAGGUAUUGAUGGAGAAAAACCUCAUCCGCCUUGUGGAAAAGGUUAGAAACUCUAUAUGCGACUAAGUGUCUAGAUAACCAUUUAGUAUUGAAACAACGUAUUUUUACGUUUCGCAUGAACGAAGGUGAGCUUCAUAGAGAUCAGACUAGUCAAUUUAUUACUCUUUUGAAUGAUUUAAAAAUGUUGAGGUUAAGAUUAACGACGAAGAUCAGGCUAUGUUAUUAUUGUGCCUUUUACCCCCUUCAUACAAGUCUUUCAGGGAAAUCCUAAUUUAUGGUAGAGACAAACUCUCGUUUGAGGAUAUGAAGGGUCAUUUGUUGAGUAAUGACAAACUCGAAAAUGAUUUUGGUUCGAAUAGCAAGGCAGAUAGGCAAGCUUCCAUUUUGGUAGCAUCAAAGAAGUGAGACAGAAUGUGUCGCUAUUGUAAAAAGUUAGGUCACAUCAAAGCAGAUUGUUAUAAACUGCGAAAUAAAAGGGAUGCUGAGAGUAACGAGGAAGAUGUAGCUACUGCUAAUUUAGAUGACGAAACCAGUGAUGAUUUCUUGUUAGUGUCAAUAAGCGAAAGCUCCGAGCUUGCGUCUGAGUGGAUCCUAGAUUCGGGAUGCUCUUUCCACAUGUGUACAAACAGAAAAUGGUUCUCCACAUACAGUUUGCUUGAAGGUGGAGUUGUACGCAUGGAAAAUGAUUCAUCCAUUAAGGUAAUCGGUAUUGGUACUAUUAAAAUUAGGAUGCACGAUGGGACAAUUAGGACAUUCUUAGAUAUCAGGUAUGUACCUGAUUUACAAAAGAAUCUCAUCUCCUUGAGUAUUUUAGACUGGAGAGGUUAGAGAAUCAACAUUGAGUCGAGCGACAUUAAGGUGUCUCGUACGGCUCUCGUUUAGUUAAAAGGUAAAAGAACCGACAAUCUUUAUAUUAUGACAGGUUCUAUAGUGAUUGGUGAAAUCAGACAUCCCUCAUCUAUUACGAAGUCGAAGUCAACUCAUUUAGAGUGGAGGCAACUUGGUCAUAAGAGGGAAAAAUGUAUGAUCAUUUCGUUGAAGAAAGGCUCUCUUUUGGAUGCAGGUUUUGAAAAGUUAGGGCAUUGUGUUCGUGAAAAUCAGACCCGUGUUAGUUUUGGUUUGACAGUGCACAAUUCGAAGGCUAGAAGUCUUCUAGCUUCUAAGCAUAUAUUCGACUUAGUUAAUUCCCUGCAUAGUUCAAGAUAGUCCCAUGGCAGGCUUUGGCAAAGAUGGAGUUGUGGAAAUACGAGUCAAGGUGGAGAUUUGUUGAGUAUGCCUCAUAUUUUAGUUAAAUUUAAAAGAUAAUCUCUCAAUUAAACUCUGUUUAUUUGUUUCAGUCGAACUCUAAUUAUUUUAGAUUAUUUUAUUAUUAUUUGACCUCAAAUUUAGCCUAUAAAUAGGCUAUUUUACAACCUUAGAAAAUACACCCAUUAAAUAUUAUAACUCAUAACACUUUUGGAGAAUUUUGUGUUUACGUUUUGAGGGUUCUUUGUUUUUGGGUUUUGAGUUUUAGCUUUUUAUCUCCAUCUUUUAUACUCUUCGUUCUUUUGUCAUCAUAGUAAAAUUAUCUUUGCCCGUGAUUUUUUAUCCUCUUUGGAGGGGUUUUUCCAAAUUAAAUUUGUGAGUUCAAUUUCUCAUUUUCUUCCGCUAUUUUUAUUUGUUCAUUGUUUAAUCGGGUCGAUUCUCAACAUAUAAUAUUUUAUACUUAAGAUUUUAAGAACAUAUCCUAUUUUAGGUGUAAUAGUAUAACAAAAGAACAUAUGAUAGUGGUAGUAUUUGAACUUGUGGGAUUAAAAUAUUGUACUUUUAAUUUAUCGAAAUAACCUCUUGUAUAUUAUCUUAACCAAUAAGUGAUUUUGAGAUUUCAAGUUUCUUUUUUGAAUUAUAAGAGGAGGGUAAAGUCUUAAUAGUGAGACGACUAGCAUGAUUCAAACUCAAGACACACCUGAGACGAUAAACACUCUGACCAUUAGGCUAAUAUAGAAAUUUUAGUCUAUAUUAUCCUUUCUUUUGUAAUUUUCAUUUACCUUAAAAUAAUAACUGUUUUUCAUAGUUUUUAAAUUCAUCAAUUUAAAAAUAAUUCUAAAACCCUAAAGAAAGUUGGUCGAAUAAGUAAUAAAUUUAUUUAUUUUAAAAUGCUAACAAGUAAACAAAUACAUUUGAUUACUAAGGAUUAAAAGAAACAUGAUAAACAUUUUUUAUUAAGUAAAAUUUUAAAAUAUUAUACCAAAAAAAAUUAGUAUUUCAAAUACUAUAGAGUCGUAUUAUUCUUGCUUUCCACUAAUAUUUCCUAAGAAACUAGUAUCAGUAAUGAAAAUAUUGCCCAUAAAGACUGCUGGUGGACUGAGGACUUAAAUUCAAUCAAGAGCAUGUCAAAAGGAAAAGAAAAGAGUAAAUAUCACACAUGCCCUCAAAACAUUUGACAUCAAUUAUUUUGAUAUUUACAUUUCGAUUGGUGAAGAAAAAUCGAACUACAUUAACUGGUUAAAUUAAGAAUUGAUAUUGAAUGAUAAAAAAAAUCAGCACAAAAUUUAAUUAGAAAAACCAAUUUUUGAUAUUGAGUUUUUUUAUAUUAAAAUUAUUUUUCUGCAAGUGAUCAGAUUAGAAGUUUAAACUUAAUAGCCUUUUAUAUAUAUUAAAUAUGAUAACAUUAAAUCAAGUACAUGAAGAACAUAUAUAAGCAAAAAUCUGUCUAUUGAAUUAUGUCAUGAACAAAAAUCAAGAGCAUGCUAUGUAUACAUAUAGGGGCUUCAACACAUCAUCUUGCUUUCCCACAUUCACGCAUAUCUAUAUAAACAAGUACAGGGACCUUUAUUCAAUACUUAAAGUCUGCAGCCAUGCUAGACCGACUGGAAGGAACAAAACAAAUUUAACUAAUAAAUUACUACUUUUUAAACAUAUUUAAUAUCAAAAUUAUAUUUAAGAUUUAAUUUAUAUUUUAAUUAAAUAAUUCCGUUUGACCAAUCCAACCGAUAGAAUAAUUAAAUAACUUAAAAUUCACAUCGAUUUGUUACAGAUGGGGCCCUGGGAAGGACCAAAAAGAUAUUUGUCUGAAAGUUUAAAGAUAAAUAGAGGAUAUUUACUUUGUAACACACAUUUAAACAUUUAUCUACUAAUUUUUUAAAGACAUCAACUUUGAAUGAAAAGAAUCAAACAAAAGACAAACCAAUAUUGCUUUUAAUCUAUUUGCAAAUCUCAUUCAAUGGGCCCUACAUGCAUUUUGUUCUAUAAUUGGUUUCAUGCAUUUAUGUGGUCUUUUUUUGACUUAAAAUCACCAGUAUUUUGUUUUUACCUAUAAAUACAUGCAACGAUUGCAUUCUUAUCCUCACUCAAAUUCUGUGCCAAAUUUGAAGAGCAAACCAAAAAAAAAGCGGCAAAUUAAGCUUUCGAAUAUUUGCUUUUGUUCAAUCCAAAUGGCUUCACAAGUUUCUCAAUUGCCUUCUUCAUCACCCCUUACUUCCAAUAAGGAUGAAAUGCGCCCCAAAGCUGAUUUUCAGCCUAGCAUUUGGGGAGAUCUCUUCCUCACUUGUCCUAAAAAGGUAUACUAAUAUAUGAGCAUAUUGACAUAUAAUGUUAACAUAUUAUUUGUUUAAUUAUUUAGUGUUUCAGUAUGAAUAAAAUUUGCAUUAUUUUGAGCAGGAUAUCAAUGCAGAAACUGAACAACGCCACCAACAAUUGAAAGAAGAAGUGAGGAAGAUGGUUGUGGCACCGAUGAAUAAUUCAACCCAAAAGUUAAACUUCAUUGAUUCAGUACAAAGACUGGGUGUGAGUUACCAUUUCACAAAAGAGAUCGAGGAUGAACUAGAGAACAUCUACCAUAACAACAACGAUGCCGAGAACGACAUCUACACUACAUCUCUUCGAUUCCGAUUACUCCGAGAGCAUGGAUUCAAUGUUUCGUGUGGUAAUUAUUGGAACAACAUAGUGCUUUUAAGUUUUAUGACUAUAUAAUAGCAUGGAAUGUUUGAAAACGAUAUUUUGUUUCGGGUGAUUUGAUCGCAGAUGUAUUCACCAAGUUUAAAGAUGAGCAAGGGAACUUUAAGUCAUCUAUGACAAGCGAUGUUCCAGGAUUGUUGGAACUUUAUGAAGCUUCCUAUUUAAGGGUUCAUGGGGAAGAUAUAUUGGAUGAAGCAAUUUCUUUCACCACCAACCAUUUAAGGCUUGUAGUAGCAUCUUUGGAUUAUCCUUUAUCCGAACAGGUUUCUCAUGCUUUGAAACAAUCAAUCCGAAGAGGCUUGCCAAGGGUUGAGGCGAGGCACUAUCUUUCAGUAUACCAUGAUAUUGAAUCCCAUAAUAAGGCUUUGCUGGAGUUUGCAAAGAUUGAUUUCAACAUGUUACAACUUUUGCAUAGGAAAGAGCUAAGUGAGAUUUGUAGGUAUGUGUUUUUGAAUAUUUUUCAUCCAUUUCUUCUUUUUUCACCUUUUUUUUUUCAAUUUAUAGGAGGCUUCAUCCUCAGUAUAAGGGACGGGUUGCAAAUACUAAUAUUCAAAUCUUAAACGUAUUAAAUUACAUUAGUUAAAAGUGAAGACAUGAACUUUGGACUCAUCUUUUUCACCUAUUUCAUUUAACGUAUGAAGAUAUAUAUAUAUAUAUAUAUAUAUAUAUAUAUAUACAAACUUGAGAUUUCCAAUAGAAUUAAGAAUCUAACAAUUUACUCUUCAACAACAUGAAUGUGAAACUAAUAAAAACUUUGAAGAUUCAUUGUGCUAAUGAGGUUUUUUAUGAUAUAUUUUUUAGGUGGUGGAAGGAUUUAGACUUUCAAAAAAAGUUGCCAUAUGCAAGAGAUAGAGUGGUUGAAGGUUAUUUUUGGAUCUCAGGAGUAUACUUUGAGCCCCAAUAUUCACUUGGUAGAAAGAUGUUGACAAAAGUGAUAGCAAUGGCAUCUAUUGUAGAUGAUACAUAUGACUCAUAUGCAACAUAUGAUGAGCUCAUUCCCUAUACAAAUGCAAUUGAGAGGUUAGAUUUCUUUAGUUAGAGAUUAACAUUCAGUUAUAUAUUACGAGGAAUGAUUGAAUAUAACGUUGAAGUUGGAUUCAGGUGGGAUAUCAAAUGCAUAGACCAACUUCCAGAAUACAUGAAACCGAGCUACAAAGCACUAUUAGAUGUUUAUGAAGAAAUGGAACAACUGAUGGCUAAGCACGGAAGACAAUAUUGUGUCGAAUAUGCGAAAAAUGCGGUAUAUACAUCAAGAAAUAUUUAUUUUAUACAAAAGAGAUAAGACCUUAGCUAAAUUUUAUAUUUGAAUAAACAAUUAACUUAAAUAACAUUAAAAUCAUUUAAAUAUUAUUAUCGAAUUUGACUUGAUAUUAGUGAUAAUUGUUGGGAUUUUGUUGCCUCAGAUGAUACGACUUGCUCAAUCUUACCUUGUGGAGGCCAGAUGGACUCUUCAAAACUACAAACCAUCAUUUGAGGAGUUUAAGGCUAAUGCUUUGCCAACUUGUGGUUAUGCCAUGCUUGCUAUAACAUCUUUUGUCGGGAUGGGAGAUAUCGUAACACCAGAGACCUUUAAAUGGGCUGCCAAUGACCCUAAGAUCAUUCAAGCUUCCACAAUUAUUUGUAGGUUUAUGGAUGAUGUUGCUGAACACAAGGUAUAAUAAUAUAUUUAUAUAAUCACAAGAAACUAAGCUCUUAACUCAAUAAUUGAAUGUCUCUGUAACGAAAUCAAAAAUGGUUUUUUAUCAUGAUCUAAAACCAUUAAAGUUUAAUAUUUAUAUAUAAAUGUUUAGUCUUAAAUUGAAGAAUAAGAAAAAAAAAAAGAGUUUCAUUUUAGGGUUACUAGGGAGGAAAUGUUGUCAAAAGGUAAUUUAUCAUCACUAAACAAAUGUAGUUUAAUAAACUGAUAGAUUUUAGUGUAUAUAGUGAUAGAAUAAUUUUGAUUUUAUUACGGCUGC